rnacentral:lncRNA from 1 species
ACCCCUGCGAGACCUUUCCCCGUUUCUUUCUAACCUUAACGAAUGCGACAUCGAAUGUCAUACUUGAUGCAUAUUCACUUUAUUUGUCCCCUUGUGUGGUGUACUGUUUGUUUCCUAAUUUGAAUGGAUGUAUGUAUGUAUGCUUGCAAUCGCAUAGAGAACGAUCCGGUCGAAGAGCCCGAGGAACUCGCAGGAGAAGCCCCUGAGCAGCAGUCGGUUGGUGGAGGCAAGUGUCCCUUGACCUAUCUCUGUCCUAUUCAUUAUUUAAUUCACCUCCCGCUUUACACAUUUAUGCCUAAGGAUUGACUAGCUUUUGUGAUCCAUGUCCUUGUUUACCUAUCUGGGUUGGAUUAUUAUUGUUUAGCUUUAUGCUAUUGCUCAAACUCUAAUCAAUGAACAUGAUGAGAUUAUCUAUGAUACGCUGUUUUCCCUUCUCUUAUUAUGAUGUUGUACUUGUGGUCAUCAAGGGGGCUCGAGCGGUUUCUCGAGUGCCUCUCCGUAAGGACCUGUUCUAUGGAUGACCGCCCGGGAAAACAGUGCAACCAUGAGGGUGGAAUGGGGUGCCCUUAGCUGAAUAAUUAGAGAACUCGGGGUGUAGAUCACUUAGCCAUCGUGCCGUCAAUGGGGCUCGGUGUAUGCGGCUCGCUCUGCCAAGUUUGGGUUCGCCCCUUGGGGAGGAGUGCGGUGCAUUUAGGAAACCUAACGGGUGGCUACAGCCCCGGGGAAUCUUUGUAAAGGCUACGUAGUGAUGCCCUGUUGGGUCACCUUGGUAGUGAUCAAUGGAGAGUCAUGAUCUCCGGGCAGAAUGGGAAUCACGGCUUGUGGGUAAAGUGCACAACCUCUGUAGAGUGUUUGAAAACUGAUAUAUCAGCCGUGCUCACGGUUAUGAGCGGCCAAGGGAGCUCCAGUGAUUAGUGGUACUUGAUCAGAGAUACUUUGGUACAGGUGGCGAUGAAAUCGAUGGUUUUGGUUACGACUAUGGUGCUGGUAAGUGGUAUUCUUUCCGUUUGGAAAGGGUACAUCAGGCUAAUAACUUGGGUUAAUGCUAAAACCUGGCUUUUUAUUAGUAAAUAAUAAUCUGACCAACUAAAAGCAACUGCUUGACUUAUCCCCACAUAAAGCUAGUCCACUACAGCCAAACAGGAUAUUUGCUGAGUAUGUUGAUGUGUACUCACCCUUGCUCUACACACCAAACCCCCCCCAUCCCCAGGUUGUCAGCAUUGCAACCACUGCUCAGGCGAAGAUGAAGCUGUGGAAGGAGACUUCCAGGAGUUCCAAGACUACGAUGAGUUCUAGGUGUGGGUUAGCAGCAACCCCCAGUCGGCUGCCUGUGAAGGCCGCGGUUAUCUACGUUUCUUUUCCGCACUUUGAUUUAUUGUAAGGACUAUAUGGACGUCUCAGACGUAUGAUGUAAUCAACUAUUAUUUCCCUUUUAAUACUAUUUUGAGCACUGUGUGAUGAUGUCCAUGUUAUGUAACUGAUGUGUACGUGAAUAACUGAUCCUGGCACGUACAUGGUUCGCAUUCGGUUUGCCUUCUAAAACCGGGUGUGACAUAAGUGGUAUCAAAGUUGUGCUGACUGUAGGACCGCUAACCUAGAGUAGAAUGGUCGUUCUAAGGACUAUAGACCUCUGUCCCUGCCUUGACUUUGAUAUCCCUUCAAAAGUUGGUCAUACCGACCACACCUAUGUUCUACUAUAUAUUAUACCUUGCUGAAAAUCAUGUUUUAUUCUAAUCCUUCAUUUAUUUAUGAUUCAUUACUGGCUGGUCAUAUUGAUUCUGUUCUCACCCUUUUGCUUGCGAUGUCUUUUGUAGAUGGCUCGACUUAGACACACUGCACGAAAGUCUGUCAUCCCCUUCUUACCCUCCUGCCUUGCUGAGCGUCCGCUUCGCCGUCCCGUGGCCGGACAGUCUAACCACUUGGAGAGACUGCACCACCGCCUGCGUGAGGAGCAGGAACGUCGACGACAGGAGCAGCAUGGCUCUUCUUUCUCGCUCCACCAGGAGAUAGAGUCCGUGAGGAGCUGCUCCCCUGUGCUUCCUCUGGAGGCGCCCCCUGCACCAUCACUGGGCGCCCCAGCUUCUGGAGUAGCUGCUGGAGGAGACCCAGACGACGGAGGUGGCGACGACAGCUUGAGCCACGACACCGACUUCUCUGCUAACCAUGAGCCGGAAGGAUGGGUUGCUCGACCCAUCACUCGCGACGCUGCUCGCGGGUGUCACUUCCACGAUGCGCUCGACACCCUGCUACGUCGGGCACUUAACCGGCAUACUUGGUCCAUCGAGUAUCGCUGUGUGGUCUACCAGCAUAGUCGCGGGGUCUACCCGGACCGCUGGGAGGCAACCUGCUUGGUGCGCCGCCCGAAGAACAGUCUCCAGGGUGCGGAGGCCUGCUUAGAGCACCAUUCUAUCUCUGAGCGGGACUCAGCUGAGGCAGCCAUGCAAGAUGCUGCACGGCGUGCGCUUUCGCACUACUGCUCGGUUUUCGGUGGGGUAGCUGACGGCCUUGACCUGAAGUAUUACCCUCGCCGUCCAUCUGGCAGCACAGGAGGCCUGAUUGUCUCACCUGUCGGUGAGGGCAAUCCUAGGUUGAGCAGCACAGUCAACCUAGCCGCCGUGCUAAACACGGAGCUGGACCAUGCAUUAGACGAGCUGAGUAGGGCUCGUGCUGAGAUCGCCCUGCUGCGGGCUGAGCGCGCGGAACGUCGUCACCUGGAUGAUGGUUCCCCCACUCCCGUCGGGACUCAGCAUCCGUACCGCUCACCUCGGCGUGGACACAAGCCUUAUGGCAAUCCCGACUGCAAGACCAAGAUAAAUCUAGAACCAUAGCUCGUUAGAGUUGGAUCUUGCAAUUAAUACGAAAUAUAUACGUAGAAGCUACAGUCUUAGUGUUAGUCUCGGUCUUAGUUAGUCUUAGUUAGACAGGGUAGUUUGCUAUAUCCUGUGCAUUUAUGUUUGUCAUGAUGAACUAUGUUUGGUUUGGAUCUUUGUAAUGACUGUCACUAGAGUGUGGGUAUCCCCUGCAUUUUGGUUUACCUAUUAUGUUAAUAGAGUUAGUUAUGUAGUUGGGAAACCUUUUAUUCCACUUUCCUCUUAUCUGAGAAGCUGUGUUGGUCUGUGUUGGAGAUCAGUGAAGAUGCUCAUCUGUUCAGUGCUGUUGAAGAAUUCUAUACUCUUUUCUUAUGCUGCAAGAUUUGCCAGAUUAGUUCUGAUGUGUGGUUGCAUUCUGCAGAUGUCAGAGAACAGGCGCAGAGGAGGAAGGCGUGCUCAGCAGGAGCGAGCCGCUCAACAGGAGGAGGUGCCCCAGCAGCAGCACCUGCCGCCCCCGCCCCCGAUGUCCAUCGAGCAGAUGUUUCUGAUGCAGACUCAGGCAGUUCAAGCCAUCGGUCAGACCUUGGCCGCCAUUCAGCAGCAGCAGCAGCAACAGCAGCAGGCCCCACCUCAGCCUCAGAUGCCUCAGAUGCCUAGAGACAAGCGUGCUGAAUUCAUGAGAGGUCAUCCACCAACGUUCGCUCACUCUUCUGACCCCAUGGAUGCUGAAGACUGGCUGCGCACUGUGGAGCGGGAGUUGCAUACCGCUCAGUGCGAUGAUAGGGAGAAAGUCCUGUAUGGUCCCCGUCUAUUGAGAGGAGCAGCCCAGUCAUGGUGGGAGUCUUACCUCGCCACCCAUGCCCACCCUGACGCCAUCACCUGGGAAGAGUUCAGAGGUAGCUUCCGUCUGUACCAUGUUCCUGCAGGUCUGAUGAUAGUGAAGAAGGAGGAGUUCCUGGCCCUCAAGCAAGGGUCAUUGUCUGUCAGUGAGUACCGGGACAGGUUUCUGCAGUUGUCUCGCUAUGCUCCUGAAGAUGUCAACACCGACGCCAAGCGGCAGUACCGUUUCCUGAGAGGCUUGGUUGACCCUCUGCAGUACCAGCUGAUGAAUCAUACCUUCCCGACAUUCCAGCACCUGAUUGACAGAGCAAUCAUGACAGAGAGGAAGCGUAAAGAGAUGGAGGAUCGUAAGCGCAAGAUCAGUGGACCCCAGCAUGGAAGCAGCAAUCGUCCUCGUUUCUCAAGCAAUCAACCUCAGCAGUUCAGGCAGAACCAGCGUCCACCUCAGCAGCAUUAGCAGUUCCAAAGGCAGUAUCCUCAGCACCAGUACCAGAACCGUCAGAGCAAUCAGUCAGGAGGUUAGUUUCAGAGGCAGAAUCAGCAGGCACCUUGUCUUCCUGCCCCAACAGCCCAGCAGAGCAAUCAGGCAGCACCAGCUCAGGUUGGAAACAGAGCAUGUUUCCACUGUGGAGAGCAAGGCCAUUGGGUGAUGCAAUGUCCGAAGAAGGCAGCCCAGCAGCAGUCAGGCCCCAAUGCCCCAGCAAAGCAGAAUGUGCCUCAGCCUGGAGCAGGCAACUGCUCUCAGCCGCGCUAUAAUCAUGGAAGGCUGAACCACUUGGAGGCUGAAGCAGUUCAGGAGACCCCCGGCAUGAUAGUAGGUAUGUUCCUAGUCGACUCCCAUAUUGCAGAAGUGUUAUUUGAUACUGGAGCAACGCAUUCUUUCAUUACUGCAUCAUGGGUAGAAGCACAUAAUCUUCCAAUUACUACCAUGUCAACCCCCAUUCAAAUUGACUCAGCCGGUGGUAGAAUUUGAGCCGAUAGCAUUUGUUUGAAUAUAAGUGUGGAAAUAAGGGGGAUAGCAUUUCCCGCCAACCUUAUAGUAAUGGGUACUCAGGGAAUAGAUGUCAUCCUAGGGAUGAAUUGGCUAGACAAGUAUCAGGCAGCUAUCAGUUGUGAUAAGAGGACAAUCAAGUUGGUGUCCCCACUAGGAGAAGAAGUGGUGACUGAGUUAGUCCCGCCUGAGCCAAAGAAAGGAAGUUGUUAUCAGCUAGCUGUUGAUAGCAGUGAAGCAGACCCAAUUGAGAGUAUCAGGGUUGUGUCCGAGUUCCCAGAUGUGUUUCCAAAGGACUUACCGGGUAUGCCACCAGAGCGGAAAGUUGAGUUUGCUAUAGAGCUUCUUCCUGGAACCGCCCCUAUCUUCAAGGGAGCUUAUAGAAUAUCCGGACCAGAGUUGGUUGAACUUAAGAAGCAGAUUGAUGAGCUGUCAGAGAAAGGUUACAUCCGGCCAAGCACCUCGCCUUGGGCCGCCCCUGUCCUAUUUGUGGAGAAGAAAGAUGGCACCAAGAGGAUGUGCAUCGAUUACCGAGCUUUGAAUGAAGUCACGAUCAAGAACAAGUAUCCCUUGCCCAGAAUAGAAGAUCUGUUCGACCAGUUGAGAGGAGCCAGUGUGUUCUCCAAGAUUGAUCUGAGGUCAGGUUAUCAUCAGCUCAGGAUCCGACCUUCGGACAUUCCGAAGACGACAUUCAUUACCAAGUAUGGUUUGUAUGAGUUCACAGUGAUGUCUUUUGGUUUGACCAAUGCGCCAGCGUUCUUCAUGAACUUGAUGAAUAGUGUAUUCAUGGAUUACCUUGAUAAGUUUGUGGUGGUAUUCAUUGAUGACAUUCUGGUUUAUUCUCAAAGCGAAGAAGAGCAUGCAGAUCAUUUGAGGAUGGUAUUGCGGAGAUUGCGAGAGCACCAGUUGUAUGCAAAGUUGAGCAAGUGUGAGUUCUGGAUCAGUGAAGUCCUGUUCUUGGGUCACAUAAUCAACAAAGAAGGAUUGGCUGUGGAUCCGAAGAAAGUGGCAGACAUUCUGAACUGGAAAGCGCCAACAGAUGCUCGAGGAAUCAAGAGUUUCAUUGGAAUGGCCGGAUAUUAUCGGCGAUUCAUUGAAGGGUUUUCGAAGAUUGCGAAACCUAUGACAGCGUUGCUAGGCAACAAGGUUGAGUUCAAGUGGACCCAGAAAUGUCAAGAGGCCUUUGAAGCGCUGAAAGGAAAAUUGACUACAGCGCCUGUCUUAGUCUUGCCUGAUGUGCACAAGCCCUUCUCGGUGUAUUGUGAUGCUUGUUACACAGGUUUGGGAUGUGUGUUGAUGCAAGAGGGAAGAGUUGUGGCUUACUCGUCCCGACAGCUGAAGGUUCAUGAGAAGAACUACCCAAUCCAUGAUCUAGAAUUGGCAGCAGUGGUUCACGCACUGAAGACAUGGAGGCACUACUUGUAUGGACAGAAAUGCGAUGUUUACAUAGAUCACAAGAGUCUGAAGUACAUAUUCACUCAGUCAGAGUUGAACAUGAGGAAACGAAGAUGGUUAGAGUUGAUCAAAGAUUAUGAGUUGGAGAUUCAUUACCAUCCAGGCAAAGCAAACGUAGUGGCAGAUGCUUUGAGCAGAAAGAGUCAAGUCAAUCUGAUGGUCGCUCGUCCGAUGCCUUAUGAGUUGGCCAAGGAGUUCGACAGGUUGAGUCUCGGAUUUCUGAACAAUUCACGAGGAGUCACAGUUGAGUUGGAACCUACCUUAGAGCGCGAAAUCAAAGAAGUGCAGAAGAAUGAUGAGAAAAUCAGUGAGAUCCGGCGACUGAUUCUAGAUGGCAGAGGCAAAGACUUUCGAGAAGAUGCAGAAGGCGUGAUAUGGUUCAAAGACCGCUUGUGUGUUCCCAAUGUCCAGUCCAUUCGGGAGUUGAUUCUCAAGGAAGCUCAUGAGACAGCCUAUUCGAUUCACCCUGGCAGUGAGAAGAUGUAUCAGGAUCUGAAGAAGAAAUUCUGGUGGUACGGAAUGAAGAGGGAAAUCGCAGAGCAUGUGGCUAUGUGCGAUAGUUGCCGAAGAAUUAAGGCAGAGCACCAGAGACCUGCUGGAUUGUUGCAACCGUUGCAGAUCCCUCAGUGGAAAUGGGAUGAAAUUGGUAUGGAUUUCAUAGUCGGAUUGCCUCGCACUCGAGCCGGCUACGAUUCCAUUUGGGUAGUGGUGGACCGCUUGACCAAGUCAGCCCACUUCAUACCUGUCAAGACCAACUAUAGCAGUGCCGUAUUGGCAGAAUUGUAUAUGUCUCGGAUCGUUUGUCUUCAUGGUGUGCCAAAGAAGAUAGUGUCAGACAGAGGAACGCAGUUCACCUCUCAUUUCUGGUAGCAGUUGCAUGAAGCCUUGGGCACACAUCUGAAUUUCAGUUCAGCUUAUCACCCGCAGACAGAUGACCAGACCGAAAGGACCAGUCAAAUUCUUGAAGACAUGUUGAGAGCCUGUGCGUUGCAAGAUCAGUCCGGAUGGGACAAGCGAUUGCCUUAUGCAGAGUUUUCCUAUAACAACAGUUACCAGGCCAGUUUGAAGAUGUCACCAUUUCAGGCGCUUUAUGGAAGGAGUUGUAGAACUCCGUUGCAAUGGGAUCAGCCUGGAGAAAAGCAGGUGUUUGGGCCAGACAUUUUGCUUGAAGCCGAAGAGAACAUCAAGAUGGUCCGAGAGAAUAUGAAGAUAGCGCAAUCAAGACAGCGAAGCUAUGCAGACACAAGAAGAAGAGAGCUGAGUUUCGAAGUCGGAGACUUUGUCUAUCUGAAAGUGUCACCGAUCAGAGGAGUCAAGAGGUUCGGAGUCAAAGGCAAGCUAGCCCCCCGCUACAUUGGUCCGUAUCAGAUUCUUGCAAGACGUGGAGAAGUGGCCUAUCAGCUCAGUUUGCCCGAGAAUUUGUCUGCUGUGCAUGAUGUCUUUCAUGUGUCUCAGUUGAAGAAGUGCUUGCGUGUGCCAGAAGAGCAGUUGCCAGUGGAAGGUCUUGAAGUCCAGGAGGACUUGACCUACGUUGAGAAGCCAGUGCAAAUCCUUGAGGUUGCAGACAGAGUCACCCAAAGGAAGACCAUCAGAAUGUGCAAGGUCAGAUGGAUUCAUCACCCUGAGGAAGAAGCAACCUGGGAGCGUGAAGAUGAUCUGAUGGCCAAGUACCCAGAGCUCUUUGCUAGCCGGCCCUGAAUCUCGAGGGCGAGAUUCUUUUAAGGGGGAUAGGUUUGUAACGCCUCGAAUUUUGGAGUUGAAUUUUUUUAUUUUCUUCACUCGCUAAAUUCGGGCGUUACCCUUUCUUUUUUUUUCUUUUUUUCCUUUUCCCUCGCUAGACCUUGAUCUUUUCCAAAAUUAUAGCGGGGUUCGGCUUGGAAUUCCCGCGUAAAGCAAAACCUUAAAAUACUUUAUGUUGUUUGAUGCAUCAUGCCGAACCAUGCAUUCUUUCGAUUGCUUAAAAAUGUAAGUGCAUUCAUCCAGGAAAAACGGAUUUCGAAAAGGAGAAAACCUUUUUUUCUUUUUCUUUUUUUUUUCCUUCUCUCUCUCCUCCCUUUUUCUCUCUCCCGCGCCGUGGGCCGCCCUGGCCGGCCCAGCCGCCCCCCCCCCCGCGCGCCCCCUUUGGGCCCAGCUGGCCCAGCCGCCCCUCCCUUUUCCCCCCAAUCCCUCUCUCUCCCUCCCAUUCUCUCUCUCCCCCACCCUAGCCGCCGCCCCACCCCAGCCGCCGCCCCUGCCCUAGCCGCCGCCCCUGCUCAUCGCUGGUUCGGCCGCCCGUCCCCGUCCCCGGUGAGGUCCCCCUCCCCCUCCCCUCCCUCUCCCAUCUCCCCUCCUCUCCCCCCUACCCGGCUCGGCCCCCCCGCCGCUCGGCCGCCCGCCUGCCCCGGCUCGGCCCCGCCGCUCGGCCGCCCCCGCGCCCCCGGUCCGGCCGCCCGCCCGCCCCAGCUCGGCCGCCGGUUCGGCUGCCGGCUCGGCCGCCGCCUCGGCCGACCCAGCCCCCGCCGGUUCGGCAGCCCCUGCCCAGCCGCCCCUGCGCGCCCAGCUCGGCCGCCCCCCUGCACUAGCUCGGCCGGCCGCCCGCCGCCGGCUUGGCCGCCCCCGCCCCUGCCCCUGGCCGGUUCAACCGCCCCCCGGCCGGUUCAACCGCCCCCCCUUUUUUUUAUUUAUUUUAUUUUAUUUUCUUUCAUUAUUGUUAUUUAUUUUAUUUUGGGUAAGCUAAUCAUCGUUCAUGUUAUGAAAUAGGAAACUUAAUUUAGAAUUCCGUUACAUUAAUCAAUUUAUAUAGUCAAUCGUUCAUUUCGCUUAAGGUCGAUCAACUAAAACGGGGCUAGGUUUCUGUUAGUGCAUAUAACUAAUUCUCUUGUUAGGACCAAUUGGAACUAGAGCGCAUAAUUUAACUAAUCAUUCGUGCAUAAGCUUUAACCCCUGCGAGACCUUUCCCUGUUUCUUUCUAACCUUAACGAAUGCGACAUCAAAUGUCAUACUUGAUGCAUAUUCACUUUAUUUGUCCCCUUGUGUGGUGUACUGUUUGUUUCCUAAUUUGAAUGGAUGUAUGUAUGUAUGCUUGCAAUCGCAUAGAGAACGAUCCGGUCGAAGAGCCCGAGGAACUCGCAGGAGAAGCCCCUGAGCAGCAGUCGGUUGGUGGAGGCAAGUGUCCCUUGACCUAUCUCUGUCCUAUUCAUUAUUUAAUUCACCUCCCGCUUUACACAUUUAUGCCUAAGGAUUGACUAGCUUUUGUGAUCCAUGUCCUUGUUUACCUAUCUGGGUUGGAUUAUUAUUGUUUAGCUUUAUGCUAUUGCUCAAACUCUAAUCAAUGAACAUGAUGAGAUUAUCUAUGAUACGCUGUUUUCCCUUCUCUUAUUAUGAUGUUGUACUUGUGGUCAUCAAGGGGGCUCGAGUGGUUUCUCGAGUGCCUCUCCGUAAGGACCUGUUCUAUGGAUGACCGCCCGGGAAAACAGUGCAACCAUGAGGGUGGAAUGGGGUGCCCUUAGCUGAAUAAUUAGAGAACCCGGGGUGUAGAUCACUUAGCCGUCGUGCCGUCAAUGGGGCUCGGUGUAUGUGGCUCGCUCUGCCAAGUUUGGGUUAUUCCCUUGGGGAGGAGUGCGGUGCAUUUAGGAAACCUAACGGGUGGCUACAGCCCCGGGGAAUCUUUGUAAAGGCUACGUAGUGAUGCCCUGUUGGGUCACCUUGGUAGUGAUCAAUGGAGAGUCAUGAUCUCCGGGCAGAAUGGGAAUCACGGCUUGUGGGUAAAGUGCACAACCUCUGUAGAGUGUUUGAAAACUGAUAUAUCAGUCGUGCUCACGGUUAUGAGCGGCCAAGGGAGCUCCAGUGAUUAGUGGUACUUGAUCAGAGAUACUUUGGUACAGGUGGCGAUGAAAUCGAUGGUUUUGGUUACGACUAUGGUGCUGGUAAGUGGUAUUCUUUCCGUUUGGAAAGGGUACAUCAGGCUAAUAACUUGGGUUAAUGCUAAAACCUGGCUUUUUAUUAGUAAAUAAUAAUCUGACCAACUAAAAGCAACUGCUUGACUUAUCCCCACAUAAAGCUAGUCCACUACAGCCAAACAGGAUAUUUGCUGAGUAUGUUGAUGUGUACUCACCCUUGCUCUACACACCAAACCCCCCCCCCCAUCCCCAGGUUGUCAGCAUUGCAACCACUGCUCAGGCGAAGAUGAAGCUGUGGAAGGAGACUUCCAGGAGUUCCAAGACUACGACGAGUUCUAGGUGUGGGUUAGCGGCAACCCCCAGUCGGCUGCCUGUGAAGGCCGCGGUUAUCUACGUUUCUUUUCCGCACUUUGAUUUAUUGUAAGGACUAUAUGGACGUCUCAGACGUAUGAUGUAAUCAACUAUUAUUUCCCUUUUAAUACUAUUUUGAGCACUGUGUGAUGAUGUCCAUGUUAUGUAACUGCUGUGUACGUGAAUAACUGAUCCUGGCACGUACAUGGUUCGCAUUCGGUUUGCCUUCUAAAACCGGGUGUGACAUACACCUACCUCAAGCUCAAAAUGCCGGGCCCCAACGUGGUCAUCACCGUCGGCCCCACGUACCGACACGCGUACGAAUGCGACAUGGAGUGCGUGGAGUACGUCGAGGCCCUCAUCGCUGACAUGGAGAGCCUCUCCAAGGAGGCGCCAGACGUGAAGCGCCACGCCGGCAACUUCGAGCCAGCAGAGACGGUUAAGUCCGUCCCUCUCGACCCCAGCAACGACGCCUCCAAGCAGAUUCGGAUCGGCUCCGAGCUCGACCCCAAAUAGGAAGCAGUGCUCGUCGACUUUCUCCGCGCGAACGCCGAAGUUUUUGCGUGGAGUCCCUCGGACAUGCCGGGCAUACCGAGGGAUGUCACCGAGCACUCGCUGGAUAUCCGAGCUGGAUCUCGACCUGUGAAGCAGCCUCUGCGCCGAUUUGACGAAGAAAAGCGCAGAGCCAUAGGCGAGGAGAUCCACAAACUGAUGGCUGCAGGGUUCAUCAAAGAUGUAUUCCAUCCUGAAUGGCUUGCCAACCCUAUGCUUGUAAGAAAGAAAGGAGGGAAAUGGCGGAUGUGUGUAGACUACACUGGUCUAAACAAUGCAUGUCCGAAGGUUCCCUACCCUCUGCCUCGCAUCGAUCAAAUCGUGGAUUCCACUGCUGGGUGCGAAACCCUGCCAUUCCUCGACGCCUACUCAGGGUAUCACAAAAUCAAGAUGAAAGAGUCCGACCAGCUCGCGACUUCUUUCAUCACACCUUUUGGCAUGUAUUGCUACGUUACUAUGCCAUUUGGUUUGAGGAAUGCAGGUGCGACAUACCAAAGGUGCAUGAACCACGUGUUUGGCGAACACCUUGGUCGGACCGUCGAGGCUUACGUCGAUGACAUCGUAGUCAAGACGAGGAAAGCCUCCGACCACCUCUCCGACCUUGAAACGACAUUCCGGUGUCUCAAGGCGAAAGGCGUAAAACUCAAUCCCGAGAAGUGCGUCUUCGGAGUCCCCCGAGGCAUGCUCUUGGGGUUCAUCGUCUCCGAGCGAGGCAUCGAGGCCAACCCGGAGAAAAUCGUGGCCAUCACCAACAUGGGGCCCAUCAAGGACUUGAAAUGCGUACAGAGGGUCAUGGGAUGCCUUGCGGCUCUGAGUCGCUUCAUCUCGCACCUCGGCAAAAGAGGCCUACCUCUGUACCGCCUCUUAAGAAAGACCGAGUGCUUCACUUGGACCCCCGAGGCCGAGGAAGCCCUCGGGAACCUAAAAGCGCUCCUUACCAGCGCGCCCAUCUUGGUGCCCCCGCUGCCGGAGAAGCCCUCUUGAUCUACGUCGCGCGCUACCACUCAGGUGGUCAGCGUCGCGAUCGUGGUUGAGAGACGAGAAGAGGGGCAUGCAUUGCCCGUCCAGAGGCCGGUCUACUUCAUCAGUGAAGUACUGUCCGAGACCAAAAUCCGCUACCCGCAAAUCCAGAAGCUACUGUACGCGGUAAUUCUGACACGGCGAAAGUUGCGACACUACUUCGAGUCUGAUCCGGUGACUGUGGUGUCAUCCUUCCCCCUGGGGGAGAUCAUCCUGUGCCGAGAGGCCUCGGGUAGGAUUGCAAAGUGGGCAGUGGAGAUCAUGGGCGAGACAAUCUCGUUCGCCCCUCGGAAGGCCAUCAAGUCCCAAGUCUUGGCGGACUUUGUGGCUGAAUGGGUCGACACCCAGCUUCCAGCGGCUCCGAUCCAGCUGGAACUCUGGACCAUGUUUUUCGACGGGUCACUGAUGAAAACAGGAGCGGGCACGGGCCUGCUCUUCAUCUCACCCCUCGGGAAGCACCUCCGCUACGUGCUGCGCCUCCAUUUCCCGGCGUCCAAUAAUGUGGCCGAGUACGAGGCUCUGGUUAACGGGUUGCGCAUCGCCAUCAGGCUAGGGGUCUGACGCCUCGACGCUCGUGGCGACUCGCAGCUUGUCAUCGACCAAGUCAUGAAGAACUCCCAUUGCUGCGACCCGAAGAUGGAAGCCUACUGCGAUGAGGUUCGGCGCCUGGAGGACAAGUUCUACGGGCUCGAGCUCAACCACAUCGCCCGACGAUACAACGAGACUGCGGACGAGCUGGCUAAGAUAGCCCCGGGGUGGACAACGGUUCCCCCGGACGUCUUCUCCCGAGACCUACAUCAACCCUCAGUUAAGACCGACGACACGCCCGAGCCUGAGAAGGUCUCGGCCCUGCCCGAGGUGCCCUCGGCUCAGCCCGAGGCACCCUCGGCCCCUGAGGGUGAGGCACUGCGCGUCGAGGAAGAGCGGAAUGGGGUCCCGCCUAAUCGAGACUGGCAGACCCCGUACCUGCAAUAUCUCCACCGAGGAGAGCUGCCCCUCGAUCGAGCCGAAGCUCGGCGACUGGCGCGGCGCACCAAUUCGUUCGUCUUGCUGGGGGACGGGAAGGAGCUCUACCACCGCAGCCCCUCAGGCAUCCUCCAGCGAUGCAUAUCCAUCGCCGAAGGUCAGGAGUUAUUACGAGAAAUACACUCGGGGGCUUGCGGUCACCACGCAGCGCCUCGAGCCCUCGUUGGGAACACCUUCCGACAGGGUUUUUACUGGCCAACCGCGGUGGCCGAUGCCACUAGGAUUGUACGCACCUGCCAAGGGUGUCAAUUCUACGCGAAGCAGACCCACCUGCCCGCUCAGGCUCUACAGACAAUACCCAUCACCUGGUCAUUUGCUGUGUGGGGUCUGGACCUCGUCGGUCCCUUGCAGAAGGCACCCGGGGGCUACACGCACCUGCUGGUCGCCAUCGACAAAUUCUCCAAGUGGAUCGAGGUCCGACCCCUGAACAACAUUAGGUCCGAACAGGCGGUGGCGUUCUUCACCAGCAUCAUCCAUCGCUUUGGGGUCCCGAAAUCCAUCAUCACCGACAACGGCACCCAGUUCACCGGCAGAAAGUUCCUGGACUUCUGCGAGGAUUGCCACAUCCAGGUGGACUGGGCCGCCAUAGCUCACCCCAUGACGAAUGGGCAAGUAGAGUGUGCCAACGACAUGAUUCUGCAAGGGCUCAAGCCACGGAUCUACAACGACCUCAACAAGUUCGGCAGGCGAUGGAUGAAGGAACUCCCCUCGGUGGUCUGGAGUCUGAGGACAACGCCGAGCCGAGCCACGGGCUUCACGCCGUUCUUUCUAGUCUAUGGGGCCGAGGCCAUAUUGCCCAUAGACUUAGAAUACAGUUCCCCGAGGACGAGGGCGUACGACGACCAAAGCAAUCGAACCAACCUAGAAGACUCACUGGACCAGCUGGGAGAGGCUCAGGACAUGGCCUUACUACACUCGGCGCGGUAUCAGCAGUCCCUGCGACGCUACCACGCCCGAGGGGUUCGGUCCCGAGACCUCCAGGUGGGCGACUUGGUGCUUCGGCUGCGACAAGACGUCCGAGGGCGCCACAAGCUCACGCCUCCCUAGGAAGGGCCAUUUAUCAUCGCCAAGAUUUUGAAGCCCGGAACAUACAAGCUGGCCAACAGUCAAGGCGAGGUCUACAUCAACGCUUGGAACAUCCGACAGCUACGUCGCUUCUACCCUUAAGAUGUUUUCAAGUCGUUCAUACACCUUGUUUACAUACGCCAAUAAAGUCUAACCAUCAAGGAAGGGUCAGCCUUGCCUCGGCAAAGCCCGACCCUCCCUCAGGGGCUAGAAGGGGCGAACCCCUUCUGCGUCAAAAUUUUCCUCGGAAAAAGUCUUCCAUCAAAAUGACUUUCGCGUCUCCCGGCUAUAUUAGUAACAGGACCCCAAGAAACGAAUAAGAGUACAUGUAAGUGGCAAGGCCGACCGAGCCGAGGGACUCCUACGCCUCUGGGAUACGGAUACCUCACUCGUCACCUACCGCGAAAAAUAACUCUUACUUGGGUAGGCAAUCCUUCUACUGACGAACGAGUCCGGAUACGCAAAACAGGAGGAAAAGAGACACAGCCUUAUAUUACGACGAUAAAGUGUUCGGGCCUCGGCGACCGCAAAAGACACAUAUGCAUUCAAAAUAAACUGCUCCGGCACAAUCAGGCGUCGCCCGGAGAAGGAGCCGCGCCCUCGGCUUCGUUUCCACCCUCGUCGAGAUCCGCCCCGGCCUCGGACGACGGAGCAAGCGGGAGGAUCUCUGCUUCGAAGGUGGUUGCCAGCACCGCGCUUGGGCCCGCGGCGGCCGCGUCAAGCCUCUGGACUUCGGCCAGGGCAGCUUCAUCUUCGUCGGGAAGGCAAUACACCUCGCUGACCCUCUCCAGAUCCACGUCGUAGUGGGAAGCGAGCACGGCGAAGGCCCGCCUGACGCCGUGAUGCAGCAUCUCGCGGAGUCUGCCGCGCGCGUGGUCACCCAAGGCCUGCAGGUGACUCUGAGGGGAGCUCCCCGAGGGGACGUCGUCGUGACCAAAGACCCGACAGAAGGCCGAGAUGGCCUCGGACAUGGCCGCGUGGUCGGCCUCCCUCUGCUUGGCCGCCUGGGCAAGUGCCUUGGUGGACUCAUCGAGGGCAGACUCGAGCUCUGCAAACAGCCAAAGCAGAAGACUUCAAACACGAGUUGAAGAAUGAAGCUAAAUCAAAAUCUUAAAACAGCCAAGACAUACCUUCGGCUCGGGCACGCUGCUCCGAGGAUGCGGCUUGGGCCACGGCAAGGUCUGCCGCAAGGGCUGCAGCCCGAGCAGACGCCUCGGCUAACUGGUCUCCAAGGGCCUCAGCCCGGCUUUCAGCCUUGACGGCCCAGCCCCGAGAUUGGUCCCGCUCGCCGAUGACCUGGCCAAGCUCCAACUGCUGCCGCUGCGCCUCUGCGCGUGCCACCGCUGCCUCCGCUUCCAGAUCGACACAAAGCAACCGAAGGUCCGCCACCUCGGCGCUCCAUUGGGAGAGGCGCUCGGUAGCCCCGGCAAGCGUGGUCCUCAGGAACCACAGCGAACCCCAGACAUCGGCCUCGCGUCGGAUGAACGAUGACUUGGCGGCGCUCAGAUCCGUCAGAUCCUGAGGAAAGGAAGCGGGGCGUCACAAAGAAUGCCUUGAUCACGUGAAAGGUAUGCUUGAAAUCCUUACCUAGAGGAUCUUGGGAACGUCCCUGCAAAGGACCUCCAAGGUCGACCGAAGCGACCCCACCGUCGCCUCGGCACACUCACGAAGCCCGUCCCAAGACUGCUCCUCUCGCUCAUUGUCGAGAACGAAGAGGGGAUCCGAAGCACCACGGGUCCAAAACCAGAGCAACUGACGCCGCCCGUCGGGACUGCACCGCACGGGGACGAGGUUGCCGCUCCCCAGGACGGGUCGCGGUUCUGCGCCCCCCUCCUCCGAGGCAUCAAGUAGCGACGCCUCGGCCAUCUCAGCGUCGGCGGCGACGGGUGACUCCACGGCCAGAACGGCAACCGCCUCGGCAGAAGCCGGUGCCAGCGCCGGCAACGCGUCUGGUGGGCUCGAGGUCGCAGCCGCGCCAGCAGUCUCCCUCGGCACGACGGUCGCCUCGACGAAGGAGUCGGCCUCGGGAGCUCGCCCCACGGCAACCUGUGCCGCCUGGGCCCCCCCGCUUUGGGGCUUCUUGUGAGGAGGCCAGCUGGCCGGCGAGGCCCGGUGCGGCACUGGCUGCAGAAGCCGGCGCCGUCUUGAGGGCCUUCAGGGGAGCCAGACCGGUCGAACCGUGCCUCCGUUUGCUGGGAAGAAAAGGAAGAGCAGGAUCAGGGCACACGAAGGAGGAGCCAGGACGAAAAUAUCCUAAGAUACUUACCCACUCCGGGCCACGAUCAAACGUGCCUGUGGGGAGGUCUCUCGAGCCUCGGUCCCCGAAGGUACCACCGAAGUUAGCCCCGCUGCCAGCUUCGGCACCAUCCUUGCCUCGGGCGCCCGAGGCACCAGAGGGACGGACUGCCCAGGCGCAGCCACGGCGACCCGAGGAUCACCCUCCUGUGCAGUCGGCACGGGCAAUGGUUCUUGGGGAACAGGUGGGUCGGCCUGACACCCCGGGGUCACCUCAACUACCUCGGCCAAGGGGUCAAGUACCCCCUCGGCCUGCCCCCGUUCUUCGGACCGGGACCCCAACGUCCUGGCCCCAGAUACCGACGGUGCUAGCCCGCUCGGGGGCUGGCUCGACGACCCCUGGCCCAGCCUCAGAUCCGGGCUGAGGCCAAGGCGGGCAGCCAUGUCGUCGUCUUCAUCAUCAUCUUCAUCGUCGUCGUCGUCAUCGUCAGGCGUCUCCGACGAUGGCUCCCUCGGGAGCCCAUCCCUCUCCUGUCGACGGCGAAGCCUCUCCAAGGCGUCUCGAGCCCGCAUCCGUUCGCGGGCCCGAGCCUUCUUCGCGUCCUUCUUCUCCUUCCUCUUCUCCGCGGCGACCCUCCACGCGGCUCGGUCCACCGCGUCCUCUGGGACCGGUGGCAGGGAAGGCUUGUGAAACCCCACCUCCUGGAGACGGACGAAAAGUCUCGGUUGUGAGAACCAAGGGCAAUCCGACACAAGAAGGAAGAAGGAGCGUACACUCACCAGGGACACACACCCGCGAUCGGGACGCGUCGAGAGCUGGGAAAAGGCCCCGGCGUCUAACUUCCCUACCGUUCCGGCUACCCGCCUGUGGAGGUCAUCGGCGGGAAGGGGGUCCGAGGACAUCUGCAAACCCUCCAAGUCGACCCCCGGUGUCAUCUCCCAAAGCGGCAGUCGCCGCUCCGUCAAGGGGAGCACCCUCCGGCAAUGAAUGGCGGCAACCACCCCCGCGGCAGUGAGCCCUCCUUCUUGCAGCUCCUCCAAGGCCUUCAAAAGGGGCUGGAGAUUCUUCUGUCUCUCGUGCGGGGCCCCGUAGUGCCAGUUACCGCCAGCGGCGGUCACCACUCGUUGAGAAAACGACGGGAGCCCCCCGUCGUCAUUCCGGAGAUAAAACCACCGGCGCUGCCACCCCUUGUUCGAAGACGCGAGGAUAGCAGGGAUGUACUGCUGCGCCCGCGCCUGCCUCAACUGGAGGAUGCAGCCACCAGCCCGCACCGCCAUGCGAACUCUUCUUUCCCCCGUCGUCGAGGCAAAAAGCUCCGCAGAGAAGAGAUGGGUCCACAGGUCCCAGUGGGGGGCAAUCCCCAAAAACCCUUCGCAAACCACCGCGAAGAUGGCUGCUUGCGCGAUGGAGUUGGGGCAGAGAUUGUGCAGCUCCACCCCAUAGACGUGCAGAAUCGCCCGCAUGAAACGACUUGCCGGCACUCCGAACCCCCGCUCAUGAAAAGAGACGAAGCUCAGCAUAUACCCCGGCAGCGGGGACGGGUCGGCUCCGCUCGGAGGGGCCAUCCACUCUGGUUGCGAGUCACCGGAGAGAGGACGAAGCAAACCAUCGGCAACAAGGGCCUCCAGAUCGUCCGCCGUGACGGUGGAGAAAGGCCACGUGUCGCGCGGCGAAACAACAGUCACCCGGUCGGCCAUCACCAAGCAAAAGAGGUGGUGGCGGAGCGGACGAGGUGCGCGGUUUUCUUUCUCUGGCUAUUCCCUCAGGUUGCGGAAACCUAAGUGGGAGGCGAGCAGCAGAGUAAAGAACCGUCACCGGUCCCUCUCCCGAAUAUAUAAAGGCCCAGGCGAGACCCGUUCAACACUUCGCCUAAACCCGUCGCGAGAUUCAAAACUCAAAGGCGAGACGCCCGUUCCUCGAACGGCUCGUGCACGCACAACGGCUACCCCGCGAACCACUCGUCCCGUCGCAUUAACUCUGCGACAGGACAUGCGACACCUUUGGUAGGCGAAGCAGGCGACGCUUCACCUCCACCAUGAUAACCGCGUCCAAAAAGGUACGCCACGUCGUUCAAAUUCAUAUCCCUUUUUCUCUUCCCCUUUCUCUCUCUUCCUACAGGGACCGGGAAAGGGGAUACUCCGAAAGGGAUCCUUCUCUGCGAAGGAAGCGGGCCCUGAGCCCCCCUACUGAUCAGAGGUUCGAAGGUUGGCCCCUCGGAAGGGUUCAACAGCCGCCUUAGAGCACUCAGGCUCCGCGCCCACUACUGGUCAGAGGUUCGAAGACUGGCCCCUCGGAAGGGUUCGACGACCGCCUCAGGCCACUCGGGCUCCGCGCCCACUUCUGAUCAGGGGUUCGUAGGCUGGCCCCCAAAGGGUUCGACAGCCGCCUCAGAGCACGCAGAGCGAGGGAUGACCCUGGGUACGUUCGAUACAUAACCAAGCCUCGGGCUACACUCCCGAGGUACCCUAGGACAUUUCCGAGACCGACGGGAACGAUUUUGUAAUGGAAUCCCACCAGAGGGAGGCAUCGAGCCCUCGGACCCCGUCAAAAGGGGACCGGGUCCGGCGAAUCACCUGCAGGUACUUUUGGAGCGCGCCUCCGGGCCACUAGCCGACCCCUAACGAAUGGGGCACGGGCGUCCACUCGGAUUAUCCGUUAGCAACUCACUGGAGACACUAUGUUCGGCGCCCUCCGAGGGCAACAUGGCGCUUUCCCCCCUCCUCCUUGCGGGAAGGCGACGCAGGGGCGUAUGAAAAAAGCCGAGUCUGUCCUUGACCGUCCUCUCGCUCUGUGCGGGGGCUCGGGGGCUGCUCUCGCAAACCCAUCUCUGGCCAAACCGUUGACAGCGUCAACAUACCAGCCUGAGAACUUGGGACCUGACUAAGCACCUGGGCAACGAUCAGUUCGCAUGAGGGAACAACCAAACCAGCCGAGCCAUCACAAAAGGCACUAAGACCUCGAAGGAGUCAAAACACUCCUCCGAGGCCUCGGGGGCUACACCCGGCAGGUGCGCUCGCGCGCACCCACCGGAACGAAAUGCAACCGAGAAAGGUCGGUCCCCUUGCAAAAAAGUGCGACAAAAUCCUCCAAACGAGUGCCAACACUCCCUUUGAGGCUCGGGGGCUACUGUCGGGGACCAUAAUUAGGGGUACCCCCAAGACUCCUAAUCUCAGCUGGUAAACCCCAUCAGCACAAAGCUGCGAAGGCCUGAUGGGCGCGAUUCAGGCCAAGGCUCCGCUCAAGGGACACGAUCCGCCUCGCCCGAGCCCGACCUCGGGCAAAGACAGCCGACCCCGGAAAAUUCAUGCCUCGCCCGAGGAUCCCCUCAAGCAACGGAUGCACCGUCGAUUCGCCCGAGGCACAGCUCGGGUAGGCUUCGCGGAGAAGCAACCUUGGCCAAAUCGCCACACCAACCGACCAUAUCGCAGGAGCAUUUAAUGCAAGGAUCGCCUGACAUCUUAUCCUGACGCGCGCUCUUAAGUCGACAGGGCCGAAGUGACCGUGGUCACUUCGCCGCUCCACUGACCGACUUGACAGGAAUACAGCGUCGCCUGCCCUGCUCCGACUGCCGUGCCACUCGCCAGAGUGAGGUCGACAGCGGCUAAGCCCAACCUCGGGCGACAUAGGAAGCUCCACCUCGCCCGACCCCUUACGUCAGCAAGGAAACGUCAGCAAGGAUCCGACAGCCCCGACAGCUGUACUUCCGCAGGGCUCCAGCUCUCCUCCGACGACCACGACAUCACAUGAACAGGGCAACAACACCUCUCCGACAGCCACGAUGGCAUGUACAUAGGGCACUAGCUCCUCUCUGCUAGACACGUUAGCACAUUGCUAUGCCCCCCAUUGUACACCUGGGCCCUCUCCUUACGUCUAUAAAAGGAAGGUCCAGGGCUCUCGUACAGAGGGUUGGCCGCGCGGGAGAACGGGCCGACGCAUAAGGCUCUCGCUCUCUCUCUCUCCCACGCGAACGCUUGUAACCCCCUUGUUGGAGACUUGUUCUCAAAUGCUAUGAGUUAAGAACAAGGCAACAUAGAAAAUGUUAAUCGUUAAAGUCCUUCGUCCUCCGAAGCAUUAUUUCCCUUAGGAUGUAAUGGCUUGCGGACGAAGGUUAUGAAGGACAUACCUUCAUAUAUUCAUUAAACAAUGGCGAAGGAUAAAAUAUAAAGAAUAUAAAAGACAACAUGAACAAUCAUAUAUUAUUAUCGGGUAUAAACAAAAACAUUGUUGAAUUACAAGUGUACCUUCAAUCGGAAGGAGAUGACAGUACAAGCGUGACGCCAAAAGCGAAUGCCUAGUCAGCGUGAACGGUACGGGAGUACUGUUCACCUAUUUAUAGGCACGGGACGCAACCCAUACAAAAUUACAUUCAUGCCCUUUACAUCUGAUAAUAAUUCUAUGGUAAUCUAUCAAGGUCUGAAUAGCCUUUUCAUCUUUAAGUCGGUUUCAUUCUCUGCAACCACGCCGAAGCUUUCUUGCUGACAUCUUCGGUGUUGUAUCAAGACCUUCGUAUUAUCCUGGUCCUCUCCUGGCGUGAUAACGACUUGAGUUCGAAGGUACCUGCUCACACAUUAUACUUCCAGAAAUACUGUUAAAUCCUGUUUUUGAGGACCUUCGGAUACCGAAGGUCCCCAACAGUAGCCCCUCGCAAUAUUAAUUUGUUUAAAAUAACGAAUUUAGAUUGCGACGUGAACGAAGGCCUUACGCCGAAGGUCCGAAAAAACACCUUCCCUUUGCUAGAAUAGCAACAUUCACUGACAAGCGGGGUCUUUCAACUUUCAACGCACUUGGCGUAUAAAUACGGCCAUACCGUAAACGCAUUCGACACGCUCUCUGGCCAACUGCUCCCGCUCACUCAAUUUUUAGCUCUUGUGUACUACAAUUUGCUAAGCUUUUAGUUUUGAAGCUUCGGCUUUGAAAAUAGUUUUUUAGUGUCUCCGAAGAUGUCCGAGGAUAAGAAGACUGCUGCUGAGACGAAGCUGAGCCUUGACGAAGAGAAAAAUUUGGGGUUUCUUAUAGCGAUGUCAAAGACCAACACGGAAAAAAUCACCAAGGAGAUUCUGGAAGGUUUGUCUGAGGAUACUGGCGACAGUGACAGCUACGAUGUGGACAGUGGUGGUGAAGACUCCGAAGAUCGUCCAUGGCGACCAAGCCAUUCAGUUUAUGGUAAAUCAACUAUCAAAGAAAGUCAUCUUGUCAAUAUGAGAGGAAGGUAUUUCCGGGAUUUGUCCAUUGUGAGGGCCGACGAAGGGGAAAAAACUUGCCCACACCCUGAAGAGAAUGAGGUCGUAGUGUACCGAAGCUUUUUGAAAGCUGGACUGCGAUUUCCUUUGAGCAGCUUCGUUGUGGAGGUGCUGAAAAUGUUUGAAAUCUAUCUCCAUCAACUUACCCCCGAGGCAAUUAUAAAGCUGAAUAUCUUCGUGUGGGCCGUGAGAAGCCAAGGUCUGAAGCCUGACGCAAAAAGCUUCUGCAAUAUACAUGAAUUAUCAUAUGAAACAAAACCCUGGGGUAAGGAACAGUAUCACAACAAUUUUGGCUGCUACAGUUUUGUUUCUCGGUCCGGGUCAAGCUGCCCCGUGCCAACCUUUCGGAAAAGAUGGCCCGGAGACUGGAUGACAGAAUGGUUCUAUGUGAAGAAUGAUCUGACAAUACGAGAAGAUAUCAAGGGUAUAAUCAUGCGCCCUAUUUGGCAAAGCUUCGGCCUUCGGAGGCCGAAGGUUGAAAUGAAUGAAGCUGCCGAAGAAUGCCAGAGGGCCUUCGGCGCAGUCUGUUCUUUCAUUGGGACAAGAGACUUAGUACAAGAGCAUAUUGCCUUCAGGGUAUGGCCGCUCGCGGAGAAUUGGGAAAUGCCACAAGAGACCGUGAAAGAAGCCGACGAAGGUGGACUUAUCAGGUUGAAGUACACUUUUAAAUUUGGAGACAAAUUCGUUGAGCCAGAUGAUGACUGGCUAAAAAGUAUUGAAAAUUUAAGUGAUGAACUGCUUGGGGCUUACUCAAAGGCCGAAGACACUGCAAUGUCUGCAGCCUUCGGAGGCCGAAAAAAGAAGAGGCUGAAUCGGGUAUUUGAUGCAAUCGGGUUUGUCUACCCUGACUAUUGCUAUCCUGUUCGAAGGCAGAAAAGAAAAAACACAACCUCUGCAAAAGAAGAAACUACAAUUGCUCCUAGUGAGCCAGAACUGAAAAGAAAGAAGAUAAAGGUCCUCACACAUCGGCCGCGCUAUAUUGAACCAGCUUCGGUGCCUGAGUUUACCGGAGAAACUACUACGGCCACCGAAGCUGAAAAACCAACCAAGCCAACUUUGCUGCCAGAAGUCACAGAAACGGCCGAAGUGCCAACAAAGAUAGAACUGGAACAAUCAAAGAUUUUGCUGUCAGAAACGAAAGAGAAGGCCGAAGCGCCGUCCACAGAAAAAAUGGAAGAGGUAAAAGAAGCAACUGAGGGCUCCAAAACAUCAGAAGUUUUGAGUCCUACAGCAAACAUUGAGACAGUAAAAAAUCAAAAAGUGCCAGCAGUGACUCCGAAGAGAAAGAGAAUGGCUAAUGUGCUAGAUGUACUGGAAACGAUCAAAUCUUCAAGCACACCUCCGAAGAAGGCUGCUGUCGUUCCUGAGACAACUGAAAUUUCUGGUUCUAAAUCUCCAGAGCAAAAGACUGAAGCCGAAGCUGUGCCCUCAGAGCCCGCAAAGAUAAAACCCUUGGAAAGUGAGGCAGAAAAAAUAACAACGCCGACUUUUGUUGAAGAAACCGGUGUCAUUACCCCCGAAGCAUCCCCCAAAAUUCGUGAUUAUAUUGUUCGUCAUGCUUCGGGGAAAAAACUAUCGGAAAAAGAAGAGCAAGAGGCCCAGCACUACGCCCAAAAACUGAAAUAUCCAAAGGGGGCGUUAAUAUUCAAUGGCAGUGGAGAAGAAGACUUCUUGUAUUGUCUUCCCGACAGCAAGGAAAUUUCUGUCUGUCGGGAGAUGAGCAGGAGCUUCGGAUUCCCAACUUUAGAAGACGGACUUUCGGUGCUGUCAAAGAACGAUCUAGCCGACAGCCUAGCUUACAAUAGCUUAAAGGUGUGACAAAUGAAAUCCUUGUAUUUUUUGUUGAGUUCAAAAUUUUUCGUUUACUUAAACCUAUUGACGCAGACAUAUUUCUCUCUGCAGGGGCUGAUACUCAGCAAUGCCCUCAGGGCACAGAAAGAUGCUGAAGACGAAGGGUGUUCUAUAGCCCUGAGCAACCUUCGUUCCGAAGUUAUUGAACUGAGGAACGAAGGUCUCGAAAAAGAUAAAAUGUUAUACUCAUUGAUAAAUAAAAUAAAGGAGGACGAAGCUGCUUUUAAAAGUCAAGCUGAAGCUCAGAAGCGCGAAAUUGAAGACCUUCGGAAACAACUGGCCAGAGCCAAGGAAGAACGCAUACUUGAAGAAACAAAGCGAGAACUCAGCGACCAAUGGGCCGAUCACCUAGAAAUAACUGUUGAAGAGCUUCGUUCGUCCAAAAAGAGAUGUUAUAACAAGUCUAUAGAGUGUGUUAAAAAGUUAAAAGCUAGCUUCGCCAAGGUUGGCGCCUUCUCAAGCGAAGAAAACUUUACGAGAGGCAAUCCCGAAGGUCCCAUCGAAUGGAUCGACCACGAAGCUGAAGCCUUUGAAGAAAUUUUAACUAGCCGAGGGGAUAUAUGUGCCUUCUCUGGUGCCAGAGGGAUUGCCACCAUCUUAGAGAAGAAGGGCUGCGAACAUGUAAAAAUUUUAGCACAGUCCGAAGCUGCUUUGUCCCUUGAAGAUGCAAGAGAUCCCUCGGCCGAAGCUAGUAUAAUUGGUGGGAAAUUUUUUACCGAUAUCUGGGAUAAUGGUGGCCGAGAAAUGGCCGGAGAAAUUAUUCGAAGAAGUGAAAAGGGCAUUCACGAUGCUAGAGAAGUAGCUGAGGCUGCUGAAAAGAGCGCAGAGGCCGAAGGUUAAUUAGGUAUUAACUAAUAGUUUUUAUCGUGUUUUAAUCUUAGGUUUUAAGAUUUGUUUGCGAUUUGUAAUAGCAAUGUAGCCGUAUCCUGUCUUGCUUCAGAUCCGACUAAAGCGUCUUCGGGCCCUCAGCCGAAGGGAGACGACGAAAUUAAAAAGAUGGCUGAAGAUAUUAUGGACGAAGUCGUCAACCGGCUCCUGAACGAGGCUGCAGAAGUCGUUUUGAGAGAAGAUUAAGUAUUUUUGUAAAAACUUCUGAAAUGUAAUAUAGUGUAACAUUUUGUGACCCCAAAUGUAAUAUACCUAUUUUUGUUACUCAAUUCUUUACGAUGCAUGAAACUUUACACGUACCGCUUUUGAGUCUUUGACGAAAAAACACCUUCCCUUCUUUUCAUGCUUCGUGAAGAAAAAUUUUUCUUUGUCACAACAAUAUCCAAUGUUCUGAUGAAUAAUAUCCAGGCUUCGUGAAAAUAUUUUCCGAAGCUAUAUUUCCGAAGAUCAAUGAUGUAUCUUUUUGUGACUAUGAUUUCUCCCUUUCGGAGUGUUCUUCUGUAGAUUAAUAAUGUAUCCACCUCUUGUGCCAUGUGCAAAAUGAUGUAUGAUGCUUAUGCUAUGCGAGAUGAUGUGAUGAUGAUAUGUUAUGUGAGAUGAUGUUUAUUCCGAAGAUACAUACACAUCCCUGCAAUAAAACAGUCUUUUAUAAGCCUCCCUUAGGAGCUUCUUCGCCUUUUACUUCAGCGGAAUCAGCGUUUAUUUUUCGCUGUAAGCCUCCCUUAGGAGCUUCUUCGCCUUUUACUUUCAGCGGUAUUCGCGUUGACUUUUCGCGCUUCGCCUUUUACUUAGGCGGUAUCAGCGUUGACUUUUCGCUGUAUGCUCUGCAUUCCCUUUGGAACGACUUUGGAGCAGAAAACUUACACUGCGCUCCCUUUGGAACGACUUUUUGUGACUUCGGCAAACUUACUCUGCGUUCCUUAGAACGACUUUUUAUUGCUUCGAAGAAUUUUCGAUAGUUCGAAGGUCCUUUUUAUUGUCACAAACCUGUGAAGAAAACAUAUUUUUCUUGUAGAAAUCAACGAAACUAAUUACAUGAAACCUAAACAAUGUCCUUUAUUACAGAAAAUAAAACUGAAUGAAAAAGAUUGUUAUUAAAGUAGGAUAUUCGUCAAUAGAUGUGCUUUGACUCUGGCACAGUGCUAUUGACUGUACGAGCUUCGGACUGCUCUCUGAAAUCCCUCUGGUGUGGGGCAUACUGGCUCCCUUCUGGCUGCUGGCCUUGUUGCAACGGAGGUGGAGGCGGAGGCUGUUGCCAGGAGGCUUGAGGCUGGCUCGCCGAAGCAACAGAAACUGCAGGAUGGUUGCCCACAUAUUCUGGGAUGUAGGGCGAAUGAUACGAAGCUGUAUGCAUGACCUGCUUCGGCUGAGCUUGUUGUGCUGCGGCUUCAGCUAUUUCCUUUUGCUUCUGAAUAGUAACAUGGCACAUCCUGGUAGUAUGGCCUUUGUUCUCACCGCAGAAUAAGCAAAAGAUUCUUCUCGGUUGAUCUCCAAAUCUUCCUCCAAAGCCCCUGGCGCCUUUGCCUCUUGGAGCUGGUGGUCGGAAGGAGCUUUGCUGUUGCCCCGAAGCCUGUGAGGAGCAUUGUGGCCUUUGCUGUUGACUUCCUCUGUCAUCAUUUUGUGUAGAGUUAUGAAUUGAUCUCACGUGCCUCGGGUAGAACCUCCCUCCGAAGCCCCUGGUCAUUUCAGAAAACCUGAAAGCCUCCUCCCUUCUUUGGCGAAAAUCAUUAUCGGCCCGAAUGUACUCAUCCAUCUUCUGGAGAAGCUUCUCCAAAGUUUGAGGAGGCUUCCUGGCGAAGUACUGAGCUGACGGACCUGGCCGAAGCCCCUUGAUCAUGGCCUCGAUGACAAUUUCAUUGGGCACCGUAGGUGCCUGUGCCCUCAAACGCAAGAACCUUCGGACAUACGCCUGAAGGUAUUCUUCAUGAUCCUGAGUGCACUAGAACAGAGCCUGAGCAGUGACCGGCUUCGUCUGAAAUCCUUGAAAGCUAUUUAACAACAAGUCCUUCAGCUUCUGCCAUGAAGUGAUUGUUCCUGGUCGAAGGGAGGAAUACCAGGUUUGAGCAACACUUCUGACAGCCAUAACGAAAGAUUUGGCCAUGACUGAAGCAUUGCCACCAUACGAAGACACCGUUGCUUCGUAGCUCAUCAAAAACUGCUUCGGGUCUGAGUGGCCAUCGAAUACGGGGAGCUGAGGCGGCUUGUAGGACGGAGGCCAAGGUGUAGCCUGCAGCUCAGCGGACAGAGGAGAAGCAUCAUCAAAAACAAAAUUCCCAUGAUGGAAAUUGUCAUACCAGUCAUCUUCGUUGGGAAAACCCUCUUGAUGAAGGUCUUGAUGCUGAGGCCUUCGGUGUUGCUCAUCCUGAGCAAGAUGACGAACUUCUUCAGAGGCUUCGUCUAUCUGCCUCUGCAGUUCAGCUAGUCUGGCCAUCUUUUCUUUCUUCCUCUGUACUUGUUGAUGAAGCAUCUCCAUAUCUCUGAUUUCUUGAUCUAUCUCGUCCUCUGGUGGUGUCGGACUGACAGCCUUCCUUUUCUGGCUUCGGGCCUCCCGCAGGGAGACUGUCUCCUGAUUGUGGUCCAGUGGCUGCAGAGCUGCAGCCCCAGUCGCUGAAGCCUUCUUCGGCGCCAUAACGAAGGUUUAUGAUCGCCGAAGGUGCUCAAAAAACUCAGAGUGGAAGUGAGUUCACCGGAGGUGGGCGCCAAUGUUGGAGACUUGUUCUCAAAUGCUAUGAGUUAAGAACAAGGCAACAUAGAAAAUGUUAAUCGUUAAAGUCCUUCGUCCUCCGAAGCAUUAUUUCCCUUAGGAUGUAAUGGCUUGCGGACGAAGGUUAUGAAGGACAUACCUUCAUAUAUUCAUUAAACAAUGGCGAAGGAUAAAAUAUAAAGAAUAUAAAAGACAACAUGAACAAUCAUAUAUUAUUAUCGGGUAUAAACAAAAACAUUGUUGAAUUACAAGUGUACCUUCAAUCGGAAGGAGAUGACAGUACAAGCGUGACGCCAAAAGCGAAUGCCUAGUCAGCGUGAACGGUACGGGAGUACUGUUCACCUAUUUAUAGGCACGGGACGCAACCCAUACAAAAUUACAUUCAUGCCCUUUACAUCUGAUAAUAAUUCUAUGGUAAUCUAUCAAGGUCUGAAUAGCCUUUUCAUCUUUAAGUCGGUUUCAUUCUCUGCAACCACGCCGAAGCUUUCUUGCUGACAUCUUCGGUGUUGUAUCAAGACCUUCGUAUUAUCCUGGUCCUCUCCUGGCGUGAUAACGACUUGAGUUCGAAGGUACCUGCUCACACAUUAUACUUCCAGAAAUAUUGUUAAAUCCUGUUUUUGAGGACCUUCGGAUACCGAAGGUCCCCAACACCCCUACUGCAAGCGCAUCCAUCCGCCCUGGGCGCAGGACAACACGAAGGCCGCGGGUUCCCCUUACUGUUCUCCCCCCUUUGUGUCCCGUCUCGCGCCGACCCAUCUGGGCUGGGACACACAGCGGCAAUUUACUCGUCGGUCUAGGGACCACCCGAGGUCGAAACGCCGACAAGAUUGUAUCAUUAACUUAAGCAAACAAUUCAAUUUCUGAAAUCUGUACGGAAAUUGGACAGAUUCAUUUACUGAAUUUGUAAAAAGCAUAACUUUUAAACGAUGAGACUUAUGGCUAUCAAAUUUUAACACAAGUAAGAUAAUAAAGUUAUCUACAACUUUUCUAUAUGGAUUUUCUACAGAAACAUGAUUUAGUUCAUCAAACAUACAAAACGAGGAAAUCACCGUGUGCAGUCCAAAACAACAACUAAUAAUUUUCAGCCCCUAUUUACUUCAUGAAACAUGCAUGAUUUUGUUUUCUUCUAAUUUUUCACUAACUCUUGUAAUUAUAAAAGGGGUGUUAUUUUAGCACCAUAUGAAACUAUCUAAUUUGGGGCUGGAAUUUUUAUGAGGCAUAGGUAAUGACAAAUCAUGACUAAUGUAUAAAUUUCACAUGCUCAGAUUUUAUAUUUUAUUUACUAAAAAAUAACAAAUUGUUAAUGCAAUAAAGCAUGUGAGAGCAAGUUAAAUCUAAAACUAAUUAUUUUCUGUGGAUGCAUAACCAUAUUAAGUUUUAUUAGGACAAUAUAAUACUAUGCAAGGACAGUGGAACACCAUUUUCCAUUUUUACACUCAGACAUUAUUUAUAAACCAUUUAAAACUACCUAAGGUGCAUUAAACAAGUUAAAUCACUAACUUAAUCAUACAUGCACAACAAUUCAUGAAAUUUUUACCAGUCACCAAGCAUCACACCAAGAGUCUACUGUAAAUAUUUCAACUCAUUUGGAGCACUAGAGAUACAGAUCCAAAAAUAAUAAGAAAAUAAAUCUUCUUUUUCCUAUUUAACAUGAUUUAAUUAGCACACCAAGAAAACAGUGAACAACAUAUAAGUUUUCUAUUUUUCCUUGAUGGAGUAUGACAACAUCUAACUAACAAAACAGGUUUCAUCAUUUUUGGAUUUUUAUAAAUAAAAUUAUGGAGAGAAGCAAGUUCGUUUAUUCUCUAAACCAGUUUUUAAAUACGAAUUUCUACAGAAAAACUUUUCCACUAAAACAUACAAACAUAUAGAUACAAUAGUUAGAGCAUUUCAUAAGGAAGCCAACAAAACAAAUUUCGUGAUUUUUGGGGCUCCGAAACUCAAGAUAUGAAUUUUAGAACAUAACACAAAAAUCUGCAACUUUGUAUACUCACAUCUCGCCUCGGGCCUACUUGUCAUAGACUCAGGGAUCUUCUUCUACCUUAGACCUGAACGUGAGCACACCGGUUUGCUGCAGGUUCGAGGGCUCCAUGGCCAUGGGAAGGGAUCCACGCUGCUGCCAUGGGAGAAGAGAAGAGAGGGAUGGCUCCACAGCAGCGCACCAAGGAGAGCCCGAGCAGAGGGGGAGAGAUGGCGUGGGGGAAGAGAAGAGAGAGGGCAGGGGCUGCCAUUUAUAGAGCCAAGCUCUGGACAUGUCAGCAAGCUGCAGCAGGUGGCAGGUGCUACAGUGACAACCUUGGACGGCGUGUUUUAGCAUUUUCUGCUUGGAAUCGGAUCUUGGUUGCUGCACAAAAUAUCUUUCUUGAUCUACACUCUAUAAUUUUUGUACAGAACUUAAGGUGAUUCGGGCACUGGUGAGAGAGUUAUAGACCCACAAAAAUUGGUUUGUCAGAGGUUAGAAAUCAGUGGAAACUGGUGAAAACUGAGUGUCAAAGCAUGUCAAAUGGAAUCGGAUGAAUGCCAUCUUUCAAUAUGUUCUGUCCCCAUUAGUUAUUAACAACUUUUAUAUUUAGAAAAACUUGAGUUGUUUAACAAAAAUUUGGGAACGCGAGACGUCGACCCAAACGAUGCUGAUUUCAGACUUAGAAGAAUUCGAAUCCUGAAAUCAGAUUUUUAUUCUGUCUUGAUGGCACUGUUUGAGAUACUUAGAGAUUGAAUUAAGGCUUGAUUUAAAUAUAAAAUUUCUCGUAUUACACAGGUUUUACAAUGUUAAUUAAAGGUCAAACCUCAUACCUUGAAUAUAAAUAAAAGUUUCACUUUGGUCAAGGUAGUAUCAUUAUAAAGCUCUCAAUUAUAUUUUUAAGGCAAUCAGACUAUUUUAUUGACAUUUUCUUGGCAUGGACCCUCAAUAACUUUUGUUGUAAAGUUUAUAUAGAGUGUUUUGGAAAGGUUGGCAUAACUUGGUUGAAUGUCUAAAUUUGCUUUUACUUAAUCAGUAGUUUCAAGCAAGCGUAUGAUUUAUAAUUUCAUAUAAAUAUUUGGUUCAAACUUUGAGAAAUCUUUAGAAUACACUUGAUAGAUAGAGAUAAAUGAUGACAUAAAUAUAACAAGCUGAAUUGCAUAAGAAAUAAUUAGAGGUUGACACUAUAGAGAUUCCGUUGGAGAAUGCGGAUUCGGAUUAAGUAUUUGGACGUAGACCGAUUAUCAAGAAAGCGGAUUCGGACACCGAUUGAAUAACAUAACAACUAUCCAGAGUCCGAAUAAAUGAGUCUGGAUGGGAGUUGCGAGACGAGAUUGACUUUCGAAUUUGCAUUUGCUUCAAGAAUAAAAAGUUCUAACAGGCUCCAAAUUUGACUGUUCUUGAGAUCGAAUAAUUCCAAACUUGGUGGAACAUUCAUGAGUAACUUGAUGAAUGGAGAUAGAUGUGAUCGAGAAAUAGAAAUUUUCGCUGAGCAUCCGAGAUUAGGAUAAAUCUUCCGAAAUAACGCGAAAUAGACAUCUGGGGUGUCACAGAUAAGUACAUAACUGGUGGCAGUGGAUAAUUUUUUCAACUUUGGUUUGCCCUCAACGCAGCAAAACUAGCCCCCUACUUGAGAUUUCUAUUGUAAAAAAAACAGGUUGCGGUGGAAAAAUUAUUACAAAUUAGACCCCUUUAAUUUAGCUUCUACAUUUUUAAAGCAAAAGUCGACUCUAAGAGCAUCUCCAAGAGAAGAUGCAAACUUACUCCAAAACAAAUAUUAGUAAAGAAAACUGAUUUUCUUGUUCCAGUUGUUCUCUUAUUCUUCUCCGAAAAAAUCACAUCCGAUAUCGGUGUUCUCUCAUCCCUCAUAUUUUCGCGCGAGUCGUCCGUCCCCAACACACUUGCAUGAGCAUUGUUUCCAUGUUUUUUCCCGCACGCGCAGUUGCCGGCGCCUAGGGUGUGAAACAAGUGACUAGCGAUGCAUCAAUGAAGAAGCGUGCACCACAUGCAUAUUGGCACUUCCCCCGUGUAGCAACAGAUCACAAAAGCCCAUUUGGAAAGCCCGUACACAUAUACAAAGAAGGUUGCUUGGAGGAUUUUUUAUUUUAAAUUUGAGCCUAGUUCUUUGUUUUUUAAGGGAACUGUUGGAGUAUACACAAUAAUUCACUCAUAAAAUUUUUUAGUCUACCCCUAAUGACCAUUUUAGUGAAAACUUUUUAGCAUCCUCUUAAAGUUUCUCUAAAAACAGAACCAAACGGGGCCUAAAAUGACUACGGGCGGUCGUGGCGUGUCUGACCCUGGUUGCAUGCACAAAGCCACACAUACAUAUUCCAUGCAGGAUUUCUUACUCUACCCGUAGGGGAAUUGAAGUCUCUGUCUCACAAUAGCUUGCACAUAAACAACUUACACCAAAUAUAAGUAGUGAAGUGUAAAUAACAAAACAAACAAGAAACAACACACAGAGACGGAGACACAGAGAUUUUAUCCCAUAGUUUAGCCAAUCCUGAAAUGCUUGCUUACAUCCAUGUUGGAGUUAGCCAACCUGGCUUAGAGUCUAUUUCAACUUCUUUCUUUGUUUGCUCAAAUUCAUCACAGGUGACAGGUCAAGACUUCUCUUUAUAUUUGUUGGUGUUGCAGUAUAGCAGAACCGCGACUACCACAGUUUGAUAGCUCGGCGGUAGAUGAACUCAACACAGACCCCCCGUCCGUUGCACCAGGCUGCCAAGACCAAGUUUGGCCCCAUUGCACAUCUGGUCCGGUGUGCCACUAGAUCCUCGCUAUAGACGGUCCAGUGCGCCCAGACAGGUUGCAGUGAGUCCUUUCUUCUCCAUCCUUUCUCCAUUUGACUUGAACUCUUUAGAAGGACUUUUCUGUGGCUUAGACAAACAUGAUUAGAGUAUAAUCUAGUUGCCUAAGUCCUAGAAAGUUACCUCUUUCUCAGUAUAUCCCCAACUUCUUCGUUUCUCCUCAAAUAGGGCCCUAUAUGGCACUUUCUCUACAAACCAAGUUAGAGAGAAAACCAAAGCACCAAAUGCAUAGUAAAAGGUGUGUGUGAAAGCAUCUAGGCCCAUAGUUGGUUUUAGUGAUUAAUGACAACAUAAGAUUAUAUGUGACUAACGUGUGUUUUGCAGAGCAAAUGGUAAGUUAGACCGCAUUACAGGAAGUUGCGCUGCAAUGGUGAAAACAAUACCUCAGAUGAGAACUUGAAGCAGCAACUGAAAAAGGGUGAAUCAAAAGAUGAAGGUCUUCGUAUUCCAAGUGUCGAAGGAGUUGUGGACACUUGGUAUAGAGUUAGGUCUUCUAUUUUUAUUUUAGUCGUACUAUAAAGAGGGGUUGUGGAUGAGUAGUUUGACCAAGAGAAUUCUAGUGUAGUGUUGGUGCAUAUUCACACUCACAACUAGUGCUAGGUGUCAUUCUAUAACACACUCACAAGUUAGAACGAAAUCACGUAUGAAAAACCUAAGGAAAAGAACUUAGGUUUGCUGACAUAGGGCCACGGGACUGUCCGGUGCGACCCCUGACACUGGCCGAGGACUGCCCUGGGGGCAACCCUCUGCCCCCUAUAAACCCGAGAGUGCGCAGUUCACUGGAUUGAUUUUUAGCGAGGCAUCGGACAGUCACUGUUGACUAUCCGGUGCGCCGUCAGAGCAACGACUAGCUGUCAAAAGUAACUGUUGGCUGCGCACCGGUGGCGCACCAGAUUGUCCGGUGCGCCCAUGCGCACAAGCCACAAUAACAACUAGUUUUGGUUGGUGAGGGUAUUUAUACCCCCUCUACCAGCCACAUUUAGUAUCUUGCUGCCCAUAUACACUUGUAUUUAUUGCUAGUGCAUUGCAAGCCCACAAAGCAUAGUGAGGUGAUUACGAAAAUUGUAAUCCCAUGUUAGGACAUUAUUAGUGCGCAUGAGAGCCACCUAGAGCACACACCAUAUGAGUUAGGCUUCUCUUGGUCAAGUGAAAGGAUAUAGCUUGUUACUCAUGGUGAUCGGCAUCAUUUAGACGGCUUGGUGGCGAUUGGAGUUCGGUGAUCACCUCGGAGGACUUGUUGGUGACCCGACUCGAAGAUUGUACGCAGUCAUGAGAGAUCCACUGUGCCGGAGAGGCAAAGGAUCAUCUCAUAAAGAGCACUUGGUUCGGGCAAGGACCAAGGGGAAGUGAUACCCUUGCGUGGGUGCUCCAACGAGGACUAGGGAACAGUGUCGACUAUUCGAUACCUCGGGAAAAAAAUGCAGGGGUCUUCUUGCCCUUACUUUACAUUCCGCAUUUACUUUGAGCAUUUUACUUUGUGCAAUUGCUUAGUUAGUAUUUGUAGAUAUGACUUAGGGUUGUUGUCUAUCUAGUAGUAUUUACUUAUUGCUAGUAGUUUGGGUGAAGUUGGGCUCAUUCUUAGGGUUUAACUUUUGUUGGAAUUUUAGAAAAGCCCAAUUCACCCCCUCCUAGGCAUCAUGAUCCUUUCAAUUGGUAUCAGAGCCUUGUUGCUCCUAGUUUAGCUUAACCGCUAGAGUAACGAUGUCCGGCGGGGAUGGACCUCCUCCCAUUUUUUAUGGUGACGAUUUUCCUUAUUGGAAAAUUCUUAGGGAAGCUUAUUUAGAGGCUAUAGACAUUGGAGUCUAUAAAGCCGCCAUCCAAGGGUUCCCCGAACCUAGAGAUGCCACAAAUCUUAUGGGUGAUGAGUACAACUAUAAAAAAUGGAAUGCAAAGGCCAAAAACACUCUUUUUAGGGGUCUUUGUAAGGAUGUUUUCAAUAGAGUUAGAAAUCACAAAAAUGCUCAUGAUUUGUGGUUAGAUAUUUGUGCUAUACAUGAUGGAACCAAAAGUGAGCGUGAGGAGAGAUAUCAUAUUGCCAUGAAAAAAAUUAAACUCUUUUGAAAUGCUUGCCAAUGAGAAUGCAAAUGAUAUGUACUCGCGACUUAAUAUUAUUGUAGAGGAAGUCAAUGGUUUGGGACUCACUCAAAUUUCACAACCAGAUGUUGUGAGAAAAUUCUCAGUGUCUUGCCAAUUAAAAAGUAUGGUCACAUUGUCACCGUGCUACACCAAAUGGAUCUUUCCAUCACUACACCGACUCAAAUAUUGGGAAAGAUCAAUGCUCAUGAAAUGUAUAUGCACAUCAAUGACAAGGAUGGGUCUUCUUCCAAGAAGAAAGAUUUGGCUCUCAAAGCUAGUCAAGAAAAGAAAGGCAAGACCAAAAUCCAAGUUGAGGAAGAAUCCUCAAGUGAUGAUGAUCUUGAUACAAAUAUUGCCUUCAUGGUGAGGAAGACAACAAAGAUGUUGAAGAAACUAUAUCGGGAAGGCAUCAAAUUUAAUUCAAGAAAGAAGAAUUUUUGUCGAGCAAGAGAAAGCCCACCUUCGAGAUGGAUUGCUACAAUUGUGGAAAACUUGGCCAUCUUGCUCAUCAAUGCAACAAGCUCAAGAAAAACAAUUUCAAGGGCAAGAAAGAUGAUGAAAGUGAUGAUGAGAAGAAAAAAAAGAAGUUCUUCGAGAACAAAGAAGGCAAGCACAAGAGGCUUCACAAAAAGAAGAAUGAGAAAGCAUAUAUUGUUGGUGAUUGGCUCACCGACAUUGAAUCCUUAAGCGGCUCUUCUUCAAGUGAAGAAGAAGAUGAUGAAAAGGUCACCGCCGUCGCCGGGGAUUUCUCUUCACCACCAUCAUCACCUUCAUCUACUUCACACCUAUGCCUCAUGGCUAAAGGUGAACGGAACGUACAAAAUGAAAAUGACAUUAUUGAAGAUUGUGAUAGUGAUAGUGAUGAUGAAUAUGCUUCUCCUACUUAUGAUGAAUUAGCGGAUGUUGGGGUUUGUUCUCAAAUGCUAUGAAUUAAGAACAAGGCAACACAAAAAUAGGUUAUUGGUUAAUGCCCUUCGUCCUUCGAAGCAUUAUUUCCCUAAGGAUAUAACGAUCUUCGGACGAAGGUCAUAAAAGACGUACCUUCAUCAUCACAACAUAUAUUAAUGAAAGACGAAGCAUAUGAAACAUGAGAAAUAACAUGAAUAAUCAUAUGACACCAUUAAUAUAUCUUUUAUUAUAUAACCAUGAAUGAAUAAGAACAAUAUUGAAUUACAUUUGUACCUUCGACUUGAUAGAAGGCAAAGGUACAAGCGUGACGCAUGAGCGAGUACAAAUCAGCGUGAACAAUAUGGGGGGUACUGUUCAUCUAUUUAUAGGCACAGGGCGCAGCCUAUGUGAAAUUACAUUCAUGCCCUUCAUGUUUACUAUUGACUUAAGAACAAUCUGUCGAGGACUAGAUAACCUUUUUCUCCUUAAGUCGGUUCCUUUUUCUGCUACUGAGCCGAAGCUCCCUUGCGCGCAGCUUCAGCGCUAGUUCAUCCUUCGUUCCGACCCUGCUUCCCAUAUUGUGUAUAGCUUCAUCCCGAGUCCGAAGGUGCCUGUAUGUGUAUUACACUUGGAAAACAUUGUUAAAUCAUAUUUUUGAGGACCUUAGGAAGACGAAGGCCCCCAACAGUAGCCCCUCGCAGUAUUAAUUUGUUAUAACAACGAAUUCAGACUGCGAUAUGAACGAAGGCCUUAGGCCGAAGGUCCGAAAAAACACCUUCCCUUUGCUAGAAUAGCAACAAUCAAUGACAGCUGGGGUCCUCCAAGUUGCAGCGUGCUAGGCGUAUAAAUAUGAACUCACACCGGCAACAUUUGAUAUGCUAUUUCUACCAUUUGCAUUAUUUUUUCAAACUUUUAGCUCUUGCUCACUAGCGCUCAUUAGAUUUUCAAGCUUUUUGAGCUUCAGUUUAAAAUCGCGUUUUCACCAUGUCUGAGGAAAAAAUAACCAAGGAAAAGAAGGUUGUUGCGGAGACGAAGCUAGCUGAAGAGACGAAGUUAUUUGAAGAAAAGAAAGCUGUGAAUCCUUUUAUCGCCGGGUUUAUUGAAUCUAUGUCAAAAACAAACACAAAGAAGGUUACUAAAGAGAUACUGGAAGGUUUGUCUAAAGAUACUGAUGACAGUGAUAGCUAUGAUGUGGACAGUGGGGAUGAAGAUUCUGAAGAUCGCCCCUGGAGACCAAGCCAUAUUGUCUUCGGAAAAUCGACUAUUAAACAGAGUCAUCUUGACAACAUGAGAGGAAGGUACUUUCGUGACAUGUCUAUCGUGAGAGUUGGCAGAGACAACAUCGUGCCCACCCAUGAGGAAGAUGAAGUUGUUAUCUACCGAAGCUUUUUUAAGGCUGGUCUUCGGUUUCCUUUAAGCAAGUUUGUAGUUGAAGUGCUGAAGUUCUACCAGAUCUUCCUUCAUCAGAUCACCCCCGAAGCUAUAAUGAGGAUGGGGAUUUUUGUCUGGGCUAUGAGGAGUCAGGGGCGGGAGCCAAGCGCGAAGUGCUUCUGCAGUAUGCACGAACUCUUAUAUGAGACAAAGGCUACUGGCAAAGAACAGUACCACAACAACUUCGAUUGUUAUGGAUUUAUUGCUCGCCCCAACACAAGCCACUCGGUGCCAACGUUUCGGAAGAGAUGGCCCGGAGCCUGGAUGGAAGAGUGGUUUUAUGUGAAGAAUGAUUUAAAGGCAAGGCAAGACAUUAAAGAAAUCAUCAUGCGCCCCAUCUGGUCCCGCUUCGGCCUCCGAAGGUCGAAGGUGGAAAUUGAUGACACUGUCGAAGCGUGACAGAGGGCUUUCAGCACUGUUUGCAACUUCAUUGGCACAAGAGAUUUAAUUCAGGAACAUAUAGCCUUCAGGGUAUGGCCGCUUGUGGAAAGCUGGGAAAUGCCGAAGGAGACCACCACCGAUUCUAGCGAAGGUGGUCUGGUUCGACUAAAGUAUACCUUCAGAUUCAGGGAGAAGUUUGAUGAGCCAAACAAUGACUGGCUGAAGUGCAUUGAAGCUACCAGUGAUGAACUUCUUGGAGCAUAUUCCAAGGCAGAAGAUAAUGCUCUGUUCGCAGCCUUCGAAGGUCGGGGGAAGAAAAGACUGAACAAAGUUUUUGACGCGAUCGACUUUGUAUACCCCGAUUACCGCUACCCACGGUGAGGAUAGGAGAAAAAGAGGAAGAUUGCUGCUUCGGUCACCCCAGCUGAGCUUGUGCCGAAGAGCAAAAAGGUGAAGGUUCUGACCCACUGGCCGCGUUAUAUUGAACCGGCCAUGGUGCCUGAAUUCGGCGCAGGGUCCUCCUCAGCAACCGAAGCAACAGAAACUGCUCCGAUUGCACAGAGCACUGAAGAGGCGACCGUAAUGCAGAAGGUACCCAUAGUCGAGCCAGUCGAGGCUAAGGUUGAUAAGGUUGAAAGGUCAAAGAUUGAAGAAAUAAUAAAAAUGCCAAAAAUUCUGAGCCCUCCGAUAGAGACAAAACUGUCGAAGGUGCAAAAGGCUUCUACUGCAACUCCUAAGAGGAGGAGAAUGGCCAACGUGUUGGAUGUUGUUGGGGACUUGAUCUCAAAUGCUAUGAGUUAAGAACAAGGCAACACAAAUGUUAAUGGUUAAAAGUCCUUCUACCUUCGAAGCAUUAUUUCCCUUAGGAUAUAAUGAUCUUCAGACAAAGGUCAUGAAGGACAUACCUUCAUGAUCGCAGAAUAUGUUAAUGAAAUAAGAAGCAUAUGAAAUAUAAAAAACAACAUGAAUAGUCGUAUGGCAUUAUUAAUAUAUCUUCUUCUUAUUAACAUGGAUAAACAGAAACAAUAUUGAAUUACAUUUAUACCUUCAGCUUGACAGAAGGUAAAAGUCCAAGCGUGACGCACAAAUGAAAAUACAAGUCAGCGUGAACAGUACGGGGGUACUGUUCAUCUAUUUAUAGGCACAGGACGUAGCCUGUGUAAAUUUACAUUCAUGCCCUUCAUAUUUACUAUUGACUUAUGGACAACCCAACGGGGACUAGAUGGUCUUUUCCCCUUUAAGUCAGUUCCUUUUUCCGCCAUUGAGUCGAAGCUCCCUUGCGUGUAGCUUCGGAGCAACAUCAGCUUUCGUCUCGACCAUGCUUUUCACAUCGUGUAUGCUUUUAACCUGAGUCCGAAGGUACCUGUUCAUAUGUUACACUUGGAAAACAUUGUUAAAUCAUGUUUUUGAGGACCUUCAGAAGAUGAAGGCCCCCAACAGUAGCCUCUCGCAGUAUUAAUUUGUUAGGAUAACGAAUUCAGACUGCGACAUGGACGAAGGCCUUAAGCCGAAAGUCCGAAAAACACCUUCCCUUUGCUAGAAUAGCAACAGUUAAUGACAAACGGGGCCCUCCAAUUUGCAGUGUGUUGGGCAUAUAAAUAGGAACUCACACCAGCUGCAUUUGAUACGCUGCUUGUGCCAUUUGCAUUGUUUUCUCAAUCUUUUAGCUCUUGCUCACUAGCGCUUGCUAGAUUUUCAAGCUCUCUGAACUUCGGUUUAAAAAACGCGUUUUCACCAUGUCUGGAGAAAAGAUGCCUCAGGAAAAGAAGGUUGUUGCGGAAACAAAGCUGACCGAAGAAGCGAAGUUGUAUGAGGAGAAGAAGUCUGUGGAUCCUUAUGUUGCUGGAUUUGUUGAAUCGAUGGCAAAAACAAACACAAAGAAAAUUACUAAAGAGAUACUGGAAGGUUUGUUUGAAGAUACUGCUGACAGCGAUAGCUAUGAUGCGGAAAGUGGGGACGAAGAUUCUGAGGAUCGACCCUGGCGGCCAAGUCAUUCAAUCUUCGGAAAAUCGACCAUCAAACAGAGUCAUCUUGAGAACAUGAGAGGAAGGUACUUUCGGGAUAUAUCUGUUGUGAGGGCUGGCAGAGACAACAACAUCCCUGCCCCUAAGGAGAACGAAGUUGUGAUUUACCGAAGCUUCUUCAAGGCUGGACUUCGGUUCCCUUUGAGCAAGUUUGUAGUUGAAGUGCUGAAGACCUACCAAAUCUUCCUUCAUCAGAUCACCCCCGAAGCCAUAAUAAGAAUGGGGAUUUUCAUAUGGGUAGUAAGGAGUCAAGGGAUAGAGCCAAGCGAGAAGUGCUUCUGCAGUAUGCACGAACUUCUAUAUGAGACGAAGGCCAUGGGUAAAGAACAGUACCACAACAACUUUAGUUGUUAUGGAUUUAUCGCUCGCCCCAAAGCAAGCUACCCAGUGCCAACGUUUCAGAAGAGAUGGCCCAGAGCUUGGAUGGAAGAAUGGUUUUAUGUGAAAAAUGAUUUACAAGCAAGGGAACAUAUCAAAGAAGUCAUUAUGCGCCCUAUCUGGUCCCGCUUCGGCCUCCGAAGGCCGAAGGUAGAAAUUGAUGAUUCUGUCGAAGAAUACCAGAGAGCCUUCGACACUGUUUGCUCUUUUAUUGGCACAAGGGAUUUAAUUCAAGAGCAUAUAGCCUUCAGGGUAUGGCUGCUUGUGGAAAGCUGGGAAAUGCCAAAGGAGACCACCACCCACUCCAGGAAAGAUGGUAUGGUUCGACUGGAGUAUACCUUCAGAUUUAGGGAGAAAUUUGAUGAACCCAACGACGACUGGCUGAAGUGUAUCGAAGCUACAAGUGAUGAAUUGCUUGGGGCUUAUUCCAAGGCCGAAGAUAAUGCACUAUCCACAGCCUUCGGAAGACAGGGAAAGAAAAGACUGAACAGGGUUUUUGAUGCCAUUGGCUUCAUAUACCCCGACUACCGCUAUCCGCUACGGGGACAGGGGAAAAAGAGGAAAGCUGCUACUUCGGCCAUCCCAGUUGAGUCUAUGCCGAAGGGCAAAAAGUUGAAGGUUCUUACCCACCGGUCGCGUUACAUUGAACCGGCCGUGGUACCUGAGUUUGGCGCAGGGUCCUCUUUAGUAGCCAAAACAAUACAAAUUGCUUCGACUGUACAUGGCGCUGAAGAACCAGCUGUAAUGUCGAAGAUGAUUAUAGCAGAGCCAGCCGAAGAUAAGGCUGAAAAGGCUAAAGAGCCAAAGAUUGACGAGAUAACAAAAACACCAAAGAUUCUAAGCCUUGCGAUAGAGGCAUAUCUGCCAAAGAUACAAAAGACUUCUGAUGCCACUCCUAAGAGGAGAAGAAUGGCAAACGUGGUGGAUGUUGUGUUGGAAACGACGAAAGUAUUGAGUCCUGCUCUUAUAAAGAAAGUCGUUCCAACUGAAACUAAAUCGCAGGCCGAUACCGAGACUAGGCAAGCCGAAGCUGCACAAGUUCAAGCUGAAAGAGAAGUUAGGCCUUCAGUGCCUAUCGCAAUAAUGCCUGCCACAUCUGAAGAAAAGACGACAGAACAAAUUGCAUCUGAAAAGAUCGAAGCUUCUGCUCCCGAAGCUUUGGAUAAAGACAUUGACUAUAUCAUUCGCCAUGCUUCGGGAAAAGAACUAUCCCAAGAAGAAAUGCUAGUAGCACAACACUAUGCCCAAAAAUUGAAAUAUCCGAAGGGGGCAUUAGUGUUUAAUGGUAGCGGCAAAGAAGAUUUUUUAUACCGUCUCCCGGAUAACAAAGAAGUAUCUGUCUGCCGGGAGAUAGGUAAAAGCAUCGGAUUCCCGAAGCUGGAAGACGGUCUUUUGAUUUUAUCGAAGGACAAACUUGCUGACAGCUUAGCAUACAAUAGCAUAAAGGUAUAAAAGCUAAUUUUGUAUUUGAGAAUGAAAUAUUUUAUUUGCUAUACUCAAUUCUAUCCUCCUCUUGCAGGGCUUAAUUCUUAGCAAUGCACUUAGGGCUCAAAAAAAUAUUGAAGAUGAAGGCUCUAUGAUGGCUCUGAACAACCUUCGUUCAGAGGUAAACGAAUUAAGAGACGAAGGUCUUGAAAAAGACAAAAUCUUGAUUUCAUUGCUAAACAAAGUGAAAGAAGACGAAGCUAGUUUCAAUGCUCAGGUUGAAAUCCAAAAGAAUGAAAUUUAAGACCUUCGAGAACAGUUGGCACAAGCCAAAGAAAAAUGCACACUCGCAGAAGCUAACCAAGAAAUCAGUGAAUAUUGGAAAAAUCAUUUAGAGAAAAAAGUUGAAGAACUUCGUACAUCCAAGGAAAGAUGCUUUGAAAAAUCCUUGGACUGUGUAAAGAAAAUACAAGCUAGUUUUGCUAACGUGGGUGCUUAUUCUACCGAAGAAAACUUCAUACGAGGCGACCCCGAAGGUGUUAUCGAAUGGAUAAGUGGGGAGGCCGAGAGCUUCGAAGAAAUCUUAAGUGAUCGUGGGGAUGUUUGUGCAUUUUCUGGUGCACGGGGGAUUUCAGCUAUCUUGGAGAAGGCGGGAUGUGAUCACAUCAAGACCAUGGCCCAGACCGAAGCUGCCUUCUCCGCAGAUGACACGAAGGAUCCUUCAGCUGAGCAACCUUAAUAAGCGGAAAAUUCUAUAAUGAUGUCUGGGUGAAUGGCGGCCGAGAGAUGGCUCAUGAAAUUAUAAAGAAGAGUGAAAAAGACACCCAUGACGCCCGGAUAGAAGCGAGACAAGCUGCCGAAGCUGCAAAGCGCGAGAAAUGUAUAGGUAACAUCUUUUGAUAUUCAGCUUCGGCAUUUUGUUUUUUGUGACUUCGGACUAAUUAAUUUUUCCCACUUCAGCUGAAUUAUCCCCUCUACCAGAACCGUUCGACCCCCUGGCCGAUCUAGAGAUGAAGGAAGCACUAGAGAUCAUUAAUAUGGCUGAGUCUAUUGUUGACGAAGUAGUCAAUAAACUGCUAAAUGAAAUUGUAGAGAAAAUCCUGAAAGAAGACUGGAACUUAUUGUAAAAACAUUUUUAGAUGGUCAAUGUAGCUUUAUUGUAACAAGACUGUAACAUUUGAUGUGUAUAUCUUUGAAUCUAAUAUGUAAAUUAUUUGUAAUUCACUUCUUUGCGAUGCAUGAAACUUUAUAUACAUACCGUUUUUGAGCCUUCGGCGAAAAAACACCUUCCCUUCUUUUCAUGCUUCGUAAAGAAAACGAUCCAUGCUUCGUGAAAAUAUCCAUGCUUCGUAAAAACAUCCAUGCUUCAUAGAAAUAUCCAUGCUUCAUAAGCAAGGGAUCCCUUCUUUUGUAACAAGGCUGAUGAAACUGUAUUCCUCAGCUUACUUUGUGCCUUAGCACAUUUUCAUUUUUACAAAGCAUUCUCCGAAGAUCGACUUCGUAUUCAAUUCGUGUCAUUGGUGCGAUAUGAUGUAUGAUGUGAUGCUAUGCGGGAUGAUGUGAUGAUAUGAUGCAAAAAAUGAUGCUAAUGCCAAAGACAUACACCCACACGCCCACACUGAAACACACAAUCUCUGCGUCCCCUUAGGAACGACUGGAAUCUCUUUGCCGUUUAUUUUUCGGCUUCACCGUUUAUUUUUCGGUGUAAGUUCUGCAUCCCCUUAGGAACGUCUUUUGAACUUCUUCGCCUUCUAUUUCGGCGGUAUAAGUUCUGCAUCCCCUUAGGAACGACUUUUGAACUUCUUCGCCUUAUAUUUUGGCGGUAUUUGGCUCUGCAUUCCCUUUGGAACGACUUUUGAGCAGAAAACUUACUCUGCGCUCCCUUAGGAAUGACUUUUUUGUAGCUUCAACAAAACUUACACUGCGCUCCCUUAGGAACGACUUUUCGAUAGCUUCGGCAAUUUUUAGCUCUGCAUUCCCUUAGGAACGACUUUUGAGCUUCGGCGAUUUCUGAGCUUCGUAAGUCUGUGAAGAAGAUAUAUUCCAUCUCGAUAGAAACAAAAUCAUUACAAAAUUUUAAAACUAGAUUUACAUUGCUUGUUCCUUAUUAAAAAAACAAAAUGACGUAGAACAUAAAAGUAUGUCAAAGGCAGGAUAUCACUCAAUAAAUGUUCUUUGAUUCUGGCAUAGUACUGUUGACUGUACGAGCUUCGGAUUCCUCCCUGAAUUCUUGUUGCCGUUGAGCGUUAUGGUGCCCUUCUGGCUGCUGGCUUCAGGGAUAUGUAGGUUGCAGUGGUGGUGGCGGUGGAAGCUGGGGCCAAGAAGCCUGUGAAUGGCUAGCCGAAGCAACAGAAAUUGCAGGAUGAUUGCCCACAUAUUCUAGUAUGUAGGGAGAAUGGCACGAAGCAGUGUGCAAGACCUGCUUCGGCUGAUUCUGCCGAGCUUCGGCUUCUACGAUCUCCUUUUGCUUCAGAAUGGUGAUUUGGCACAUUCUUGUAGUAUGGCCCUUGUCCUCACCACAGAAUAAGCAAUAGAUCUUCCUGAGAUGAUCCCCAUAUCUUCCUCCGAAGCCCCUAGCGCUUCUGCCUCUUGGAGCUGGUGGCCUGAAAGAACUUUGCUGUUGUCCCGAAGAUUAUGAGGUGUAUUGUGACUUCUAAAGCUGGCUUCCUUUGUCGUCAUUCUGACUGGAGCUGUGGAUUGACCUGACAUGCCUUAGGUGGAUUCUUCCUCUGAAGCCUCUGGUCAUCUCCGAGAAUUUGUAAGCUUCUUCCCUUCUUUGGCGGAAGUCGUUGUCAGCCCAGAUGUACUCAUCCAUCUUCUGAAGCAACUUCUCCAGUGUUUGUGGGGGCUUCCUGACAAAAUAUUGAGCCAUAGGUCCUGGCUGAAGACUCUUAAUCAUGGCCUCAAUGACAAUUUCAUUGGGCACUGUGGGCGCUUGUGCCCUCAGUCGCAAGAACCUUCGGACAUACGCUUGAAGGUAUUCCUCAUGAUCUUGCGUGCAUUGGAACAAGGCCUGAGCUGUGACUGGCUUCGUCUGAAAGCCUUGGAAACUGGUCACCAGCAUGUCCUUGAGCUUUUGCCAUGACAUGAUUGUCCCUGGCCGAAGGGAAGAAUACCAUGUCUGGGCCACGUUCCGAGCUACCAUGACGAAGGACUUAGCCAUAAUAGCUGCAUUGCCUCUAUAUGAGGAUAUUGUUGCCUCGUAGCUCAUUAGAAAUUGUUUUGGGUCCGAGUGCCCAUCGUACAUGGGUAGCUGGGGUGGCUUGUAGGAUUGUGGCCAUGGGAUAGCCUGCAAUUCUGCUGCCAAGGGAGAAGCAUCAUCAAAAGUAAAGGUAUCGUGAUUAAAAUCAUCAUACCUUCCAUCUUCGUUGAACAAGCCCUCUUGAUGAAUCUCCCUUUGUUGGGGCCUUCAGUCUUGGUCAUCUUGAGAAAGUUGACGCACUUCCUCAGUAGCUUCAUCGAUCUUCCUUUGAAGAUCGGUCGGCCGAGCCAUCUUCUCCUUCUUCCUUUGCACUUGUUGAUGGAUGAUUUCCAUGUCCCUGAUCUCUUGGUCCAACUCCUCCUCCUGGAGUGUUGGACUGGUGGUCUUUCUCUUCUGGCUUCGAGCCUCUCGGAGAAGAGAGAGAGAGUCUCCUAGUUUGUGUCCAGCGGCUGCAGUGCAGCAGCCCCUAGCACUGAAGCUUUCUUCGGCGGCAUGACGAAGGUCAGGGCUUGCCGAAGGUGGUCGAAUGAGUUCACGGAGGUGGGCGCCAAUGUUGGGGACUUGUUCUCAAAUGCUAUGAGUUAAGAACAUGGCAACACAAAUGUUAAUGGUUAAAAGUCCUUCGUCCUUCGAAGCAUUAUUUCCCUUAGGAUAUAAUGAUCUUCAGACGAAGGUCAUGAAGGACAUACCUUCAUGAUCGCAGAAUAUGUUAAUGAAAGAAGAAGCAUAUGAAAUAUAAAAGACAACAUGAAUAGUCGUAUGGCAUUAUUAAUAUAUCUUCUGCUUAUUAACAUGGAUAAACAGAAACAAUAUUGAAUUACAUUUAUACCUUCGGCUUGACAGAAGGUAAAAGUCCAUGCGUGACGCACAAAUGAAUACAAUUCAGCAUGAACAGUACGGGGGUACUGUUCAUCUAUUUAUAGGCACACGACGCAGCCUGUGUAAAUUUACAUUCAUGCCCUUCAUAUUUACUAUUGACUUAUGGACAACCCAGCAGGGACUAGAUGGUCUUUUCCCCUUUAAGUCGGUUCCUUUUUCCGCCAUUGAGCCGAAGCUCCCUUUCGUGUAGCUUCGGAGCAACAUCAGCCUUCGUCUCGACCAUGCUUUUCACAUCGUGUACGCUUUUAACCCGAGUCAGGUACCUGUUCAUAUGUUACACUUGGAAAACAUUGUUAAAUCAAGUUUUUGAGGACCUUCAGAAGACGAAGGCCCCCAACAGAUGCUGUGCUGGAAACUACGAAGGUUUUAAGCCAUGCUGCUACAAAGAAAGUUGUUGAAAUUACAAAAACGUAGGCCGAAACCAAAACUAGGCAAACAUAAACUAAAGCUGCGCUAGCUUAAACUGAAGUCGAUGCUGGGCCUUCAGUGCCCACCGACAUGGAGCCUACUGAUCCUAAGGAAAAAAUGACAGCGCAGAUUGCAUCUGAAAAGAUCGAAGCUCCUGCUCCCGAAGCUUCGAACAAAAGCAUUGACUACAUUAUUCGUCAUGCUUCGGGAAAAUAACUAUCCCAAGAAGAAAUGCUAGAAGCACGACACUACGCCCAAAAAUUGAAAUAUCCAAAGGGGGCGUUAGUGUUCAAUGGUAGUGACGAAGAAGAUUUUCUGUAUCGUCUCCUGGAUAACAAAGAAAUAUCUGUUUGCCGGGAGAUAGGUAAAAGCAUCGGAUUACCGAAGCUGGAAGACGGCCUUUCGAUUUUAUCAAAGGAUGAACUUGCUGAUAGCCAAGCAUACAAUAGCAUAAAGGUAUAAAAGUUAACUUUGAAUUUGAAAAUGAGGUAUUUCAUUUGUCAUACUCAAUUCUUUCCUCCUCUUGCAGGGCUUGAUUCUUAGUAAUGCCCUUAGGGCGCAGAAAAAUAUUGAAGACAAAGGCUAUACAAUGGCUCUGAACAACCUUCGUUCAGAGGUGAUUGAAUUAAGAAACGAAGGUCUUGAAAAAGACAAAAUCUUAAUUUCUCUGGUUAACAAAGUGAAAGAAGACGAAGCUAGUUUCAAAGCUCAAGCCGAAGCCCAAAAGAUUGAAAUUGAAGACCUUCGGAGGCAACUGGCCGAAGCUAAGGAAAAAUGCGCACUCGCAGAAGCUAACCAAGAAAUCAGCGAAUAUUGGAAAAAUCAUUUAGAGAAAAAUGUUGAAGAACUUCGCACAUCCAAGGAAAGGUGCUUUGAAAAAUCCUUGGAUUGUGUGAAGAAAAUAAAACCUAGUUUCGCCAAAGUGGGUGCCUAUUCUGCCGAAGAAAACUUCAUACGAGGCAACCCCGAAGGCGUUAUUUAAUAGAUAAGUGGAGAGGCCGAGACCUUCGAAGAAAUUUUAAGUGAUCGCGAGGAUGUUUGCCCGUUUUCCGGUGCGCGGGGAAUUUCAGCCAUCUUGGAGAAGACGGGAUGCGACCAUAUUAAAACCAUGGCCUAGACCGAAGUUGCCUUCUCCAUAGAUGAUACGAAGGAUCCUUCAGCUGAAGCAACCUUGAUGGGCAAAAAAUUCUAUAAUGAUGUCUGGGUGAAUGGUGACCGAGAGAUGGCCCAUGAAAUUAUAAAGAAAAGUGAAAAAGACACACAUGACGCCCGAGUAGAAGCAAGACAAGCUGAAGAAGUUGCAGAGCGCGAAAAGCGUAUAGGUAAUAUCUUUUGAUUUUCAGCUUUGGCAUUUGUUUUUGUGGCUUCGGACUAAUUAAUUUUUCCCACUUCAGCUGAAUUAUCUCUGCCACCGGAACCGUUUGAUCCCCUGGUUGAUCCAAAAACGAAGGAAGCGCUGGAGAUCAUUAAUAUGGCUGAAUCUAUUGUUGAUGAAGUUGUUAACAAAUUACUGAACGAAGUUGCAGAAAAGUCCUUAAAGAGGAAUAACUCUUAUUGUAAAAACAUUUUGAAAUGGUCAAUGUAAGAGACACUAGAACAGAUAUUGUGCUUUUAUUGUAACAAAGCUGUAAUAUUUGAUGUGUGUAACUUUGAAUUGAAUAUGUAAAUUAUUGCAAUUUAUUUCUUUGUGAGGCAUGAAACUUUACAUAUAUACUGUUUUUGAGCCUUCGGCGAAAAAACACCGUCCCUUCUUUUCAUGCUUCGUAAAGAAAAAGAUAUAUGCUUCGUAAAGAUAUCCAUGCUUCGCAAAAAGGGAUCCCUUCUUUUGUGACAAGGCUGAUGAAGCUGUAUUUCCCGAAACUUACUUCGUGCCUUAGCACAUUUUCAUUUUGAUGAAGCAUUCGUCGAAGAUCGACUUCGUAUUCGAUUCUCGUGUCGUGGAUGCGAUAUGAUGUAUGAUGUGAUGCUAUGCGAAAUGAUGUGAUGAUGUGAUGCAAAAUGAUAAUGAUGCCGAAGACACACACCCACACUGGAAUACACAAACUCUGCAUCCCCUUAAGAACGACUUUUGAGCUUCUUCACCAUUUAUUUUUUGGUGUAAGUUUUGCAUCCCCUUAGGAACGACUUUGGAACUUCUUCGCCUUCUAUUUCGGUGGUAUAAGUUUUGCAUCCCCUUAGGAACGACUUUUGAACUUCUUCGCCAUAUAUUUCGGCGGUAUUUGGCUCUGCAUUCCCUUUGGAACGACUUUUGAGCAGAAAACUUACGCUGCGCUCCCUUAGGAACGACUUUUGUAGUUUCGGCAAUUUUGGCUCUGCAUUCCUUUUGGAACGACUUUUGAGCUUCGAAAUUCUGUGAAGAAGAUUUUGGGCUUCGUAAUUCUGUGAGGAAGAUAUAUUUCAUUCUGAUAGAAGCAAAAUCAUUACAAGAAUUUAAAACUAAAUUUACAUUACUUGUUCCUUAUUAAAAAGCAAAAUGGCAUAGAACACGAAAGCAUUUCAGUGGUAGGAUAUCACUCAGUAUAUUUGCUUCGAUUCGGGUACAGUACUAUUGACUGUACAAGCUUCGGACUCCUCCCUGAAGUCAUGUUGUUGCUGAGAGUGUUGACGCCCUUCUGGGUGCUGGCUUCGGGAAUAUGUGGGCUGCAGUGGUGGUGGCGGUGGAAGCUGAGGCCAAGAAGCCUGUGAAUGGCUUGCCGAAGCAACAGAGGCUGCAGGUUGAUUGCCCACGUAUUCUGGUAUGUAAGGAGAGUGGCACGAAGCAGUGUGCAAGACCUGCUUCGGCUGAUUCUGCCGAGCUUCGGCUUCAGCGAUCUCUUUUUGUUUCAAAAUAGUGAUCUGACACAUUCUUGUAGUGUGUUCCUUGUCUUCACCAUAGAAUAAGCAAUAAAUUUUCCUGGGCUGAUCCCCAUAUCUUCCUUCGAAGCCCAUGACGCCUCUGCCCCUUAGAGCUGGCGGCCUGAAGGAGCUUUGCUGCUGUCCUGAAGACUGUGAGGUGUGCUGUGGCCUCUGAAGCUGGCUUCCUUUGUCAUCACUCUAACUAGAGUUGUGGAUUGAUCUGACAUGCCUAGGAUGGAUUCUUCCUCCAAAGCCCCUAGUUAUCUCAGAGAAUCUGUAAGCUUCCUCCCUUCUUUGGCGGAAGUCGUUGUCAGCCCGGAUGUACUCAUCCAUUUUCUGAAGCAGCUUCUCCAGAGUCUAGGGGGGCUUCCUGGCAAAGUAUUGAGCCGUAGGUCCUGGCCGAAGACCCUUGAUCAUGGCCUCAAUUACAAUUUCAUUGGGCACUGUGGGCGCUUGUGCUCUCAGUCGCAAGAACCUUCGGACAUACGCCUGAAGGUAUUCCUCAUGGUCUUGUGUGCACUGGAACAAGGCCUGAGCUAUGACUGGCUUCGUCUGAAAGCCUUGAAAACUAGUAAUCAGCAUGUCCUUCAGCUUCUGCCAUGACGUGAUUGUCCCUGGCCGAAGAGAAGAAUACCAUGUUUGGGCCACGUUUCGAACUGCCAUGACGAAGGACUUGGCCAUGACAGCUGCGUUGCCUCCGUAUGAAGAUAUUGUUGCCUCAUAGCUCAUCAAGAACUAUUUUGGGUCUGAGUGCCCAUCAUACAUGGGUAGCUGGGGUGGCUUGUAGGAUUGUGGCCAUGGGAUAGCCUACAAUUCUGCUGCCAAGGGAGAAGCAUCAUCAAAAGCAAAGGUACCAUGAUUAAAAUCAUCGUACCAUUCAUCUUCAUUGAAUGAGCCUUCUUGACGAAGCUCCCGGUGUUGGGGCCUUCGAUUGUGAUCAUCUUGAGUGAGAUGACGCACUUCCUCGGUAGCUUCGUCGAUCUUAUUCUAAAGGUCGGCCAGCCGAGCCAUCUUCUUCUUUUUCCUUUGUACCUGCUGGUGAAUGAUUUCUAGGUCCCUGAUCUCCUAGUCCAACUCUUCCUCCUGAAGUGUUGGACUGGUGGCCUUCCUCUUUUGGCUUUUGGACUCUCAGAGAGAGAGAGAGAGAGUGUCUUGGUUUGUGUCUAGGGGCUGUAGUGCAGCCGCUGGCGCUGAUAUCUUCUUCGCCGGCAUGACGAAGGUUGAUGCUUUGUCGAAGGUUGUGGAAGUGAGUACACCGGAGGUGGGCGCUAAUGUUGGGGACUUGUUCUCAAAUGCUAUGAAUUAAGAACAAGGCAACACAAAAAUAGGUUAAUGGUUAAUGCCCUUCGUCCUUCGGAGCAUUAUUUCCCUAAGGAUAUAACGAUCUUUGGACGAAGGUCAUGAAGGACGUACCUUCGUCAUCACAACAUAUAUUAAUGAAAGACGAAGCAUAUGAAACAUGAGAAAUAACAUGAAUAAUCAUAUGACACCGUUAAUAUAUCUUUUAUUAUAUAAUCAUGAAUGAAUAAGAAAAAUAUUGAAUUACAUUUGUACCUUCGGCUUGAUAGAAGGCAAAGGUACAAGCGUGACGCACAAGCGAGUACAAAUCAGCGUGAACCGUACGGGGGUACUGUUCAUCUAUUUAUAGGCACAUGGCGCAGCUUGUGUGAAAUUAGAUUCAUGCCCUUCAUGUUUACUAUUGACUUAAGAACAAUCUAUCGAGGACUAGAUAGCCUUUUCCUCCUUAAGUCGGUUCCUUUUUCUGCUACUGAGCCAAAGCUCCCUUGCGCGCAGCUUCGGCGCUAGUUCAUCCUUCAUUCCGACCCUGCUUCCCAUAUUGUGUACAGCUUCAUCCUGAGUCUGAAGGUGCCUGUAUGUGUACUACACUUGGAAAACAUUGUUAAAUCAUAUUUUUGAGGACCUUCGGAAGACGAAGGCCCCCAACAGCGGACUUGCUUAAAGAAUAUACUCAAAUCAUUAGAAAUUCCAAAACUAAAUGUGACAAGCUAAAAGAUGAAAAUGAAUUCUUAACUGCUAAGUAUGACAUAGUUGUUAAAGCUAGUGAAGAAAUGAAGGAAGAAAACAAAACUAUGUCAUCUAAUAAAAAUGAGCUCAAGACCUCCCUUAAAGAUGCUAAAGAAAAAUGUGAAAAAUUAAGUGAAUCAAAUAGGGAGCUAAAAGAUAGGCUUGUCAAAAUAAAGGAAGAUUACUGAAAGGGAAAUGUGCCCUUGAGCCAUUUCUAUAGUGUUUUGGUGAUUAGAAGCACAACACAUUAUGUUUAAACUAACAUGAUGUAUGAGCAAAAGUAUUUGAAGCAAAUUGAGCUCCGAAGAGGACAUAAUGCAAAUCUAGAUGGAUCAAGUAUAAAGGUGAGCUCUGGACACUUAGUCAAUUGUUUUGUGUGCUAAUCAUGUUUAUCUAAGUGUCAGGGACUCAGUUAAGUCAAGUCCAAAAGGAGCAAAAGAAAACAAAGGAAGAAACAGAGAAAGCGCGCUGGACUGGAGAGCACCGAACGGUCAGGUGCACGGUCUGACCAACUCUCUACUCUCUCGAAUUCUAGCCUGCGUCGGCUAUAAUUCACCAGACAAUCUGCGUGAGGCGCCAGACAGUCCGGUGAGCCGGUAGCCAACGACUAGUGUCCACGUCGGCCCUGGGGCAAUGGUCAAGUGCAGCACCAGACAGUUCGAUGCCCCACACCGGACAGUAUGGUGCCCUCCAGAAUGGGAAAGCAGCCAAUUAGGGAUUCUCUACCUGCACCCAGCCCGCGCACUAUUCACUGUCCGGUGUGCACCGGACAGUCUGGUGCACCCGCGAAUAGAAGGCAACUAGGGCCUUCCAAAUGGAGCUCCAAUGGCUCCUAGGUCCCUUGGGGCUAUAAAAAGGACCCUUGGGCGCAUGGAGCUCUACACCAAGCACUCAUUGAACAUUCUACAACGUCGAGACAUCGCAAACACGUAUUUGGUUCAUUGUGAUAGAGAUUCAAGCACUUCUUUGAGUUGUAACUCCGAUGUGUUAUUUUGUGUGCCCGUUCUUGUCUUGUGUGCAUGUUGUUGUUGCAACUCUCUCUUGUGUGCAUUUCUAUUCCUCCCUUACUCUUGUUUUCAUUUGGGAUCACUUGUGUAAGGUGUGAGAGUCUCUAACUUGUGGAGAUUCCUCACAACGAGAUAUUGCUGAGAAAAGGAGAACCGUGCUGUUCAAGUUGAUCUUUGGAUCACUUGAGAGGGGUUGAGUGCAACCCUUGUCCGUUGGGACACCACAACGUGGAAUAGGCAAGUAUUCUACUUGGCCGAACCACGGGAUAAAAACGAUGUGUCACUUGUCUUUAUACUACUACGAUUUUCUCUCCAUUCAUUUCACUUACAUAAUUGCUCUAUGUUUAAUACUUAUCUUGUGAAGAUCAAUUAAGUGAAGAAGUUUACUCCGCUCGUACUCCACACUCGAACUUGGCCUUAACUUUCACUAAUCCAAUAUUAGUACAAGUUUGUUUUGUUGUGCUGUUUUUUACAUGAUCGCCUAUUCACCCCCUCUAGGUGCUCUCAAUUGGUAUCAGAGCCAUUCUCUUCAUCAAUGAGAUGGUGAUCAACAACAAGGAUAAUGAGACUCUCUAUGUUGAUGAGCCAAAAGGUGACAAGCCCACCGACUUAGGCUCAAACACCAAGAAGAAGGAUGGAAAGAAGAAGAGGCGCAUCAAGAAGAUCAUCUACUAUGAUGACAACACCUCUUCUUCACCAAGGGAUGACGAUGACGAAGACACGUCCAUGAAAAAGAAAACGGUUAAUCAAAAUUAUUCAUUUGAUUACUCUCGCAUUCCGUACAAUUAAAAUGCACAUUUAUUGUCUAUUCCACUUAGAAACCCCCAUCACUUUGAUGGAGAAGAUUAUUCUUUCUGGAGUCAUAAAAUGCAUAGUCAUUUAUUUUCUCUUCAUCCUAACAUUUGGGAAAUAGUGGAAAAUGGAAUGCAUUUUGACAUUAGCAAUAAUUUUGUGUUUAUUAAUGAGCAAAUUCCUAAGAAUGCCCAAAUUACUACUGUGUUGUUAGCAUCUCUAUGCAGGGAUAAAUAUAAUAAGGUCAGCGGCUUGGACAAUGCCAAGCAAAUAAGGGACACCCUCAAAAUCUCUCACGUGGGUAACGAAGCCACCAUGAUCACAAAGAUGGAACUGGUGGAAGGAGAACUGGGAAGGUGCGCCAUGAAAAGGGUAGAGGAGCCAACCAAAACUUACAACAAGCUCAAGACCCUAGUGAACAAGAUUCGAAGCUAUGGAAAUACAAGAUAGACAGAUCAUGAUGUCAUUCGACUCAUGCUAAGGUCAUCUACCGUUAUUCAUCCUCAUCUUGUAAAUCUUAUCCGUGAAAAUCCCAGGUACACAAAGAUGACGCUCGAGGAAAUUCUCAGAAAAUUUGUAAGCGGCCGCAUGAUGGUGAAGGAAGCGAGAUAUGUGGAUGGCAUUGCAAACAGACCGCUUCCUCUCUACGAGCUACAGCCCGUCGCUCUCAAAGCGACAAGCAGCAAGGAGGCACUACCUAAUAAUGUGGCACAAGUGGAGGCUGUCGGACUCAAUGAGGAGGAAAUGUCGCUUGUAAUCGAGCGCUUCAAGGCCGCAUUGAAGGGGCGCAAAGAGUAUCCCAACACGAAUAAAUCAAGGAGAUAGCGCUCCUGCUUCAAAUGUUGUAAGUCCAGUCAUUUUAUUGCACAAUAUCCCAAUAAUAAAAAUGACCAGGGACAAGAAAAGAAACGGAAGAAAGAGAAGAAGAAGAACUACAUGAAGGCAAAGGGCGAGGUGCACAUCGGCAAGGAGUGGGACUCAGACUACUCUUCAUCUAACACCGACGAUGAGGGACUUGUUACCUUGACUUUCGACAAGUCAUUCCUCUUCCCCAACGAACAUCACACAUGCCUCAUGGCUAAGGAGAAGAAGGUAGAUGCUCGAGAAACCCCCAAGUACACUUCUUCUAGUGAUGAGGAUUCUGAUGAUGAGGUAGAUUAUAUGUCACACCCAGGUUUCAGGGGCACCAAGACCCGGGCGAGAAAUAAUCACCAAGUGUGCUACGACCAAGUCUUACACAUAUGAUGACUCAUGGUACAGAAACAAAUGUCACAUCUUUACUAUAUAAUAGGAGUUCUGUACAAAAUAGUUAAAUAAUUACAUCAUAUGAAGACAACAAUCUUGCAACAAAAGUUGACUAGGAGACGACGGCCUAGACCUCUCACGAACUCAUCACAGCAUUCUUCAUGCGCCUCAUCAUGCAGUACCUAUUCUUGACCUGGGGGAUGUGAGUACAACAAGGGUGAGCUCACAUACAUUCAUCGCUCAACAAGUUGUGGGGAAUAAUGUGCAUGAACUCACCAAAGGUGGGAGCCCAUGUAAAGUGUAAGGCUUACCAAAGAGGAUGAUUAAAGCUGAGCAUUGCUUUUAAAGUUGGUCAAAAUUUUCUUAGCAGUUACUAGGUAUAUGUAGAUACCAACCCAAUUAAAUAAGAGAUCAAGAUUAAUAACAACACUCACAAUGCAAUGACAAAUUGAGUUUAAUUCCAUAAGUUAAUCAUGUGAGGGUCCGAGACGCUCAUGACCGUGAGCAUGGCUGAUAUACAAGUUUUACACUCUACAGAGGUUGCGCAUAUUUACCCACAAGUUGGGUUACCCAUUUUCCACGGAGUUGAUCAGACCCCAUACACCUCUACCAAGGAAGCGAGGCAGGGUACCACUACGAGGCCUUUACAAAGUUCCACUAGCUUCAGAAAACCCGCUAUAGUUUCUAGGAAGCGCAGUAAAGGAAUCCCCCGUCUGAAAAGCCAUCGCAGCAAACUCAUCCCGAGAACCUCCCUAUACUGACCACUCCCCUACUGCCCUUGCCCCUUUCAGGUAAGGUAGUCCUCCACUAACUUUCCUAAUUAUUCAGCCAAGGGCAUCCCAUACCACCCUUGUGGUAGCACAGUUUUCCUGGGUGGUCGCUCCAUGUUCCAAUUAACAAUAUGAUCUUAUCAUGAACAAUAAUUAAACAACAACAUAAUUGGAACAUGAUCAUAAUAAAACAUUAGUUUCCCAAAACCAAGUAGGGCAAUAGCAAAACUACCCAAUAGUUCAUCUGUUUGCAAGGUGAGGGAUAAACAAUGCUAGGGAAACCUAUUAGGUCCCAUCAAAUUAACCUGAGCAUGUCAUAGUGACUAACAACGAACAUUAUUAGGUAAAAAGAAGUGAUCAAGGGCACAACUUGCCUGAGACUCGAGAUUCCAGGUACCAGGAUGAUCUUCAGAUUCUCGUGACCUAACUGCUAUUCAUAGCAAUACAAACAAACAUGGUAUAGUUAAAAUUAACAUCACACCAAACGUAAUCAUAAACUCCAUAAUAAUAUUCUACGCGUUGCUACGAGAUUGUAGGUUCGAGAACCGCUAAAUUCGGAGUUAUGGUGAUAAAGUUAUGAUUUUCUAAAGAUUUAGGAGUCGGUACAAAAGAAAUUAAGUACAUAAUUUUUAAUUUAGGUUUCAUAAUAAAAAUAAAGCUACCAGGGGAUAAACAAUAUUAUUAUAGAUUUACUACAACUAGAAUGGAUCAAUUUGAAGUCAAAAUGAAUAAAAUAUGAAUUAAACAAGUUUCUAGAAUUAUUUUUAUACCAAAAAACCAUUUUCUAUAUUAAUAUAAUCAUUUUAUUUAACUUCUGGGCUGGGGCCACUAUUUCUCAUAAACUCAGGGUUGAAUCUGCGAAUAAAAGGACCCACUUGAAAUUACUUUUGCACUGGCGUGGAUGACGGGUUUAUGUCAAGAAUCGCUAGGGGCUCUUUUGCACUAAUCCGAAGCCGAAGAGGUAUCCUUGAUUGUCAGUCAUCUGAUCUAACACCGAUGGUCCCGAUUAGAUCCCACACACGCCCAACCAGCGAGCAACCUAGGUCGCCCGAUCUGCAUCCUACGGUUCUGAUAUUAAACAUAUGCGGCCACCCGGAUUCGUUCGAUCCACAUCUAACUGCCAGGAUUGCCCCUGACCGAACGGAUGCGCAACAUCAAUCUGGGCCCUCCAUUCGUUGAUCCACGACACACGCCAAUCCCCUCCCCCUCCAACACACCAACGGACAGCACCGCCCACAGUACGCGAUGGAGGUCCACCAGAGUAGGCCCAAACCUUCAAUUAGGGUGCUACCUCCUACCGAACAAGGUGUUACACGGCGCGGAGAGUACAAGGAAGAAGAUGGUGGGGUCAUUACCGACUGGUAGCGUCCCGAUGCAAGUCGACCGCAGAAGGUUAUGUCGCGGCAGCGCUAUGGCGGAGAAGCGUGUCUCCGCGGGAUCCCUUGUCACCAAUGAGCAAUCCCAAGCGUCAACACCACCGCCUGCGCCCGAUGAGGUCCCCGACAACCCAAAGCGCGCCCCGGUGAAGUCCUUAGGUCUGAGAUUGUGUGCUCGACGCUGGUCGAAGGUUCCCCUCCCCAGAUACGGUGGUGGCGUCUGGAGCGUUCCUCGGUUCGGUGAUGCAGGGACUUGAGUUCAGAUGAUGGAGGCGAGGCAUGGCUGGCGGGAGCAUUUUUAUAACCCUAGGGGCCCGAGACCGCCAACGAAUCCCGGCGAGAUCGCACCAGGCCGUGCUUCCAUCGUGAGUUUGUUGACGAACCUGAUCAGACGAGCCCACCAGGCAGCGAGUCACGGCGGACGAACCCGCGCGCUGAGUAGCUGGCAGUCUGAGCCCACCUGUCAUCCAUGGUGUGCAUCCAAGGCGUAAGCAGUAGCUGAGAGACUGAACGUGAGGCCCGCGUAGCAGCGGUGAUACGCGUGUGGGGAGUUAUUGUGCUGGCUCACGCUUUGGCCCCUUGGUGCAGUGACGGGCGCGCGACGUGAGGCAGACCAGUGGGUCCCGCCGGUCAGCGCCAAAACCCACAAUUGGGUUGUGCAGUGAUAGAGACGUUAUUGGGCCGAAGGGAGGAAAAUCGGCCCAAGUCGAGGAUGCCAUGUUUAUUCCUUUUUCAUUUUCUGUUUUUCUUUAUUCAAGUUUGAAUUCCAAAUUUAGUUUUGACUUCAAACCCAGGUUGAAUGCACAAAAAAUAUCAGAAUGGAAUGCAGAGUUUAAUUAUUUUAUUUUUGUUUAUUUAUUAUCUUAUCUAUUUGAAUAAAUGCUUCUAAAUAUGAAAUCCAUACACACUAAAAUAGAGAAUAUUUUAAGAAAUAUAAUCUCUAAUUUAUAAAAUCCUUUAGGGAAUAAUUAUAAAUAUAUAUUUCAAUAAAGGGAUAGCCAAAAUCAUAUAGGGGUAGUUUUAUUAAAUCUUUAUUAGAAGCUAUAUAUUUGUUUUAGGAUAUGUUAACUUCAAGAAUAGGAUUUUGGGUGCUACAUAAUAGUGAUUUCUUUAAGGGUUUAGAUAGAUCUAAAGUAGAUAAAAUCAAUGAAUUAAUUGAUGCCCUUAAUUAGAAGGAUAGGCUGUUAUAAAAACAAGCAGAUAUUUUUAUGAAGAACAUGAUAAAUAAAUGUUGAAAACUCUCCUGCUUUAGAAAUUAGGAAAAAUGAAUUACUUUCUUCUGAGUUAUCUUCUUGCCAUGAUUCUAUUUCUAGUCUUAAGAGCUUAAAUGCUGAUUUAAAUGCUAAGCUAGAAAAAGUGAAUGUUACUAGUUCAUCUGUGGAGCAUGUCUCUAUUUGCAAUAGAUGUAAAGAUGUCGAUAUUGAUGCUUGCAAUGCUCAUGCUUCCACUAUUUUUAAGUUGAAUGAUGAAGUUACAAAUCUUAAUGGUCAACUAAAAAUUUGCAAGAGUGAAUAUGAAAAGAUAAACUUUGUCAGGGAUGCCUACACCAUUGGUAGACACCCUUCUAUUAAGGAUGGACUUGGUUUCCAAAGGGGAACCAAGAACUUAACAAGUCAAAGGACUUCCAAUCUCAUCAAGGAGAAAGGGAAGACCCCUAUGGCUAGUAGCUCCCAUUCUUUACAUGAUAAAAGGAACCAUGCCUAUUUGUAUGCUCGUAUUAAGAAUGCUUCUAGUGUUGUUCAUCAUGAUAGUUGCUAUGAUCAUGUUGAUUUACCUGCUCGUCAUGCUGCUACUUUUGAUUCUUAUGCCAUGUAUGCAUCAUCUAGCUCAUCGUAUGUUCAUGGUAGAAGUAUACCUAGGCGCCAUGCGCCUAGGAAUGCAUCAAAUGGCACAACUAUGCUUUAUCAUACUUAUGUUGCUUCAUAUGUGCUAACUUGCAAAAUGAUAAAGUAGUUGCUAGAAAUUUGGGGCCUAAGUGCAAGAGAGACAAAACUUGCAUCCGGGUUCCAAAGUCUUAUGUGACUAACCUUGUAGGACCCAACAAGAGUUGGGUACCUAAAACCCAAGCUUAAAUCACCUUGCAGGUUUAUGCAUCCAGGGGCACAAGCUGGGUAAUUGACAACGAAUGCACAAACCACAUGACUGUGACAGAACCUUCCAAGUCAUUAGGCCCACCUACAGUUGUCCUUGUCCAAUGGACCUCGGACAACCUCGUAGAUGCACCUGAUCACUUGACAAGUUUGGUAUUUGUAUUCUUUACCCUUCUCAAGAGCGUUUCACCCGUCACGCAGAUAUUACAACACAUCAUAGGAACAAAUAAGCGGAAGCAAUUACAAUAACUUAAUUUACAUUAAAAUAUAGAAAGAGUGUUAUUAUUACAGACCAGUAAUAUAUAGGAGUGCAGGAGUAAUAUUAUUACAACCCCGGGAGGCAAAAACCCCUCCCGCUUAAUAGUAAAAUGUUUUUAAAAGGAGGAUAACAUCCUCCAGGGACUUCACCCGUGAGCUUCCUCAUUUGGCACCACCUUAGAACAAAAGCAACAAAAGUUUGCUGCUUCCUCACCUGCAACAAUAUGGGUUCAAAAACCCUAAGUACGAAGUGUACUUUCGCAAGUCUUACCCGUCAAAAUAAAAGACUCUCAAGGAUAUGCUGGCUUGAGGGAGUCAAGGUAAGGCUUAAUCAAGAAUCAAGACUCUGUUUGCAAAAAUGCUUACUAACAGUGGGUCCUUAGAAAUCCAGUUUUAUUAACAAGUUAAGUCAUUACCUGAAUCUAGAGUUCUUUCUACCCUAGUUCAAGCACUUGGCCUAUAUGUCAGCGUUUCGGACCCGCGUGGACCCUCAGCCGACUAGUGAAUUUGUCGCUGCGUGUCCCUGCCCAGAUGGGUUGAUGCAAGAUGGAACACAAGAGGGAGGAUGAGGCUUAUAUUAUCUUGCACCGGGGUGCUCGUAGUAGGGGUUACAAGCGUCGAGAGAGAGAGAGGGAGAGGGUUCGACCCUGAGGUAAGCUAUCUGAGUUAGCCUCCUCUGCGUUUCUAUCCUUCUGCCUGCCUCUCUCGCCCCCCCCCCUUUAGGAAGGCCCUGGACAUCCCCUUUAUAGAUACAAGGAGAUGGUCUAGCUGUACAAUGGGGGUGUAGCUAUGUGCUAACGUGGCCAGCGGAGAAGUGCUUGAGCCCUGUAUAUGUGCUAACGGGGCCGUCGGAGAAGUGCUUGAGCCCUGUAGAAGCGUAGCUGACGGUGCGGCCCAGGGUCCUGCUGACGUUUCUUUGCCUUCGUAGGGAGUUUGAGAGCAAUCGACGUCAUGGACACAUGCAGGGAACCAUCAUUACCUGUUGCCGGAGUAAUUUAGAUGGGACACCGGUCUUGUUCCUUCGUAGCCUGAGGCAGCUAGCUAGAGGUAGGGUAAUGAUGUAUCCCCUGCAGUGCGCGGUCGGUCCGAGGUCGGGCGAGGCGGAGACUUCUCCUGAGGCCGAGGCUGAGGUCGGGCGAGGUUGUGACUCCUCUCGAGGCCGAGGCUGAGGCCUGAGGUCAGGCGAGGCGGAGACCUUCUCCCGAGGCCGAGGUUGAGGCCUGGGGUUGGGCGAGGCGGAGACCUUCUCCCGAGGCCGAGGCUGAGGCCAAGGCCUGAGGUCGAGCGAGGCGGAGCUCCCUGUUGCGCCCAAGGCUGAACUCGGGGGAGGUCGUGACUUACUGUCGUUGGUUUUACCCUGGUGGUUGGCACAGUAGUCGGAACGGGGUGAAUAGUGUUGUUUUCCUGUCAGAAUGAUCAGUAAAGGGGGUGAAGUGACUGCAGUCACUUCAACUUUGCCGACUGAGGCGCGCGUGUCAGGAUAAGGUGUCAGGCGAUCCCCUCAUUAAAUGUGCAUGCGAUACGGUUGGUAGGUGAGGCGAUUUGGUCGAGGUCACUACAUGACAAAGUUUUCCCGAGCUUGGCUUCGGGCGAGCCGAGGGUGCGCCCACUGCCUAAGGAUGCCCUCGGGCGAGGCGUGAAUCCGCCCGGGACUGCUGUUCUUGCCCGAGGCUGGACUUGGAUGAGAUCGCAUCCCUUGGUAGACGGGGCCUUGACUUGAACUGUGCCUAUCAAUUUUUACGGUUUGUUCUGAAGAUGUUUUCCAGCCAUGUUAAGGAGUAUUGGGGGUACCCCUAAUUACGGUACCCGACAGUAGCCCCCGAGCCUCGAAGGGAGUGUAGGUACUCGCUUGGAGGUUCUGCCGGAUUUUUUGCAAGGGGACCAGCCCUUCUUGGUCAUAUUUUGUUCCGAUGGGUGCGUGCGAGCGCACCCAUCGGGUGUAGCCCCCGAGGCCUCAGAGGAGUGGUUUGACGCCUCUGAGGUCUUAAUUCUUUUUGUGAUGCCUCGGUCGGCCUUGUUGUUCCCUCAUGCGGCCUGGCCGCAGCCCGGGUGCACGGUCAGGCUCCGAGUUUUUAAGCUGGUUUGUCGACGUGGUCGAUAAUUUGGCUGUAGCCUGGUGCGAGAGCAGCCUCCGAGCCUCUGCACGGAGCGAGAGGACGAUCGAGGACUGUCUCGACUUUUUAUUGUACGCCCCUUCGUCGCCUUUCCGCAAGGAGGAAGGGGGGAAAGCGCCAUGUUACCCUCGGAGGCACCGAACACGGUGUUUCCAGUGAGUUGCUAUCGGGUGAUCCGAGUGGACGCUCGAGCCCCGUUCGAUAAGGGUCGACUAGUGGCCCAGAGGCGCGCUCCAAAAGUACCUGCAGGUGAUUUGCUGGACCCGGACCCAUUUUAUAGGGUCCGCAGGCUCGGUGCCUCUCUCCGGUGGGAUUCCAUUACAAAUCGUUCCCGCUGGUCUCGGAAAUGUCCUAGGGUACCUCGGGAGUGUAGCCUGAGCCUUGGCCAUGUAAUGGACGUACCCAGGGUCAUCCCUGACUCUGCAUGCUCUGGGGCGGCUGUCGAACCCUUCCGAGGGGCCAGCCUUCGAACCCCUGGUCAGUAAAGGGCUCGGAGCCCGAGUGCUCAGGGGCGGUUGCCGAACCCCGCAGAGCGCAACCUUCGAACCCCUGAUCAGUAGGAGGGCUCGGGCCCGCUUCCUUCGCUGAGAAGGAUCCUUUCGAAAUAUCCCCUUUUCUCGAUCCCUGUGGCAAGAGAGAGAGAGAGAGAAAAGGAAAAAGGAUAUAAAUUUAAACAAUGUGGCACACCUUUUUUGAGGCGGUCAUCAUGACGGAGACGAAACGGCGCCCGCCAGAGGUGUCGUGUGCCCUGCCAGGGAGUUAAUGCGACGGGACGGGCGAUUCAUGGGGCAUCUGUUGCGCGUGCGCGAGUCGUUCGAGGAACAGAAAAACUGUUUCACCUUCGAGUUUGAAUUUUGCGACGGGUUCGGGCGAAGUUUUGGGUGGAUCUCGCCCGGGCCUUUAUAUGCCCAGAAGAGGGGCCGGCGGUGGUUCUUUACCCUGUCAUUUGCGCUUGUCUUCUGCUUUGGUUUCUGCAACCUAAGACAAUAGUCAGAGAAGAGAAAACCGCGCACCUCAUCCCCUCCGCCUUCACCGCUUCCGUUCGGCGAUGGCUGACAAGGCGACCGUCGUUCCGCCGCGCGACCCGUGGCCUUUCUCCACCGUUACUGUGGAGGAGCUGGAGGCCCUUGUUUCCGAUGGUUUGCUCCAUCCUCUCUCUGACGGGCCGCAGCCUGAGUGGAUGGCCCCUGGGAGCGAGGCCGACCCGACUCCGCCACCGGGGUACGUGGUCAGUUUCAUCCCCUUCCAUGAGCGGGGGUUUGGGAUGCCAGCAAGCCGCUUCAUGCGGGCGCUCCCUCACUACUACGGGGUGGAGCUGCAUAACUUCAACCCCAACUCCAUUGCGCAAGCGGCCAUCUUCGUGGCGGUUUGUGAGGUUUUUUUGGGGAUUGACCCUCACUGGGACCUGUGGACCCAUCUCUUCUCCGUGGAGUUCUUCGCCGCGUCGACGGACGUGAAGAAGGUCCGCAUGGCGGUGCGGGCCGGUGGCUGCACCCUCCAACUGAGGCCGGAGCGCGCGCAGCAGUACAUCCCUGCCUCUCUUGUAUCUUCGAACAAGGGGUGGCAGAAUCGGUUGUUUUAUCUCCGGAACGAUGACGGGAUGCUUUUGCCGUUUUCUCAACGAGUGGUGACCGCCGCCGGUAAUAACUGGCGCUGGGGGGACACACGCGAGAACCAGGAGAAGCUCUAGCCUAUUCUGCGUGCCUUGCAGAAGUUACAAGACGAGGGCCUUACCGCUACGGGGGUCGUCACCGCUAUCCAUCGCCGGAGGGUGCUCCCAUUGGCGGAGCGGCGGUUGCAACUCUCGGAGAUGAAGCCGGGGGUUGAUUUGGAGGGUUCGCGGAUGUCCUCGACCUCCCUCUCCGCCGACGACCUCCUCAAGCAGGUAGCGGGUACGGUAGGGAGGCUGGAUGUUGGCGCCCUUAGCCAGCCCGCGAUGCGUCCCGACCGUGGGUAUGUGUCCCGGGUAAGUGUCCGAUCCUCCUUCUGUUUUGCGCUAAGUUUUUUACGUUUUUAGCUCUCACUAUUGGGAUUUUCGUUCGUCCUCUGGGGUUGAGGAGUUUUAAGCUCUCCCUGCCACCGGUCCCGGAGGAUGCGGCGGACCGAACCGCGCGCAGGCUCGCCGCGGAGAAGGAAAAGGAGAAGAAGGACGCGGAAAAUGUGACGGAACCUCCCAAGUAAUUAGACCCACCUACAGUUGUCCUUGUCCAACAGACAUCAGACACCCUGUAGAUGUUCCUAAGUGAAAGGAUCAUGAUGCCCAAGAGGGGGGGUGAAUUGGGCUUUUCUAAAAAUCAACACUAAUUAAAACCUAAGCAAGAGCUUAACAAGAGCCCAACUUCACCCCAACAACUAGCACUAAGAAUAUAAUACUAGAGAUGUAACAAAGCUAAGAUAAUACUUCAAAUACUUGCUAAACAAAUACACAAUGUAAAGUGCUUGAAUUAAGUGCGGAAUGUAAAGCAAAGUUUAGAAGACUCCUCCAAUUUUUCCCGAGGUAUCGAAGAGUCGGCACUCUCCACUAGUCCUCGUUGGAGCACCCGCGCAAGGGUAUCGCUCCCCCUUGGUCCUCGCAAGAACCAAGUGCUCACUAUGAGAUGAUCCUUUGCCACUCCGGCGCGGUGGAUCCCUCGAGACCGCUUACAAACUUGAGUCGGGUCACCAACAAGAUCUUCACGGUGAUCACCGAGCUCCCAACGCCACCAAGCCGUCUAGGUGAUGCCGAUCACCAAGAGUAACAAGUCAUAGACUUUCGCUUGACCAAGAGAAGCCUAAUGCGAGUGGUGUGUGCUCUAGGUGGCUCUCACUAGCGCUAAUGAGGAACAAGCGCGGAUUAUGAUUCUCUAAUCUCCUCACUAGGCUUUUGGUGCUUGCAAUACUCUACCAAGGUGCUGGAAUAAAUGUGGAGUGCAAGACAUUGAAUAUGGUGGGUGGAGGGGGUAUAAAUAGCCCUCACCCACCAACUGGCCGUUACAGGCAUUUACUGCGCGAUGGCGCACCGGACAGUCCGGUGCGCCACCAGUGCGCCAACGGUGCGCCACCGGUGCGCCAACGGUCACUUCCAACGGCUAGUUCUGACAGCUAGCCGUUGGACUCAUGGCGCACCGGACAGUGAACAGUCCACUGUCCGGUGCACACCGGACAGUUCGGUGCGGUGUCCGGUGUGCCACUAAAAUUCAUCUCCGAAGGCUGCGCUCUCGGGUUUCUGCGACUGGGAAAACUCUGCUGAGGACCAGCCUGGCCCCACCUGGCAGAGGGUGCACCGGACAGUCCGGUGCACACCGGACAGUCCGGUGCCCCAAAGCCAGAAACACUAAGUCUUGUUUUUCAGCUGAUUUUCAAAUCGGUUUUCGCUCUAACUUGUGUGUGAGUUCUAGAGUGACACCUAGCACUAUAUAUGAGUGUGAUUGUGCACCAACACUACACUAGAACUCUCUUGGUCAAACUACUCAUCGACAACCCCUCUUUAUAGUACGGCUAAAAGAGAAUAAAAGACCUAACUAAAUCGCGAGUGUCCACAUCUCCUUGACACUCGGACUUCUUAGACCUUCACCUUUUGUUCCGUCGUUUUAGCCGUCGCUUCGAGUUCUUAUCUCCGGGAUUGUUUUCACCGUUGUAGUACUUCUACCUGUCAUGCGACCUAACUUACCAUUUGUCUCUGCAAAACACACGUUAGUCAAAUAUAAUAUUACGUUGUCAUUAAUCACUAAAACCAACCAGGGGCCUAGAUGCUUUCAAUCUCCCCCUUUUUGGUGAUUGAUGACAACCCUACAAGUUUUGUGAGAGUAGUUUGUUUUGAAGAUUCUGUCAAUAGAAAGAAUGGUUAGUUAUACUCAGUAAUCUUUGACAGAAAGAAUGUGUACCAUAAUAAUAAGAGUGAGCGCAUACACAUCAUAAGAUUCUUGUUCAUAUAAAAGAGAAAGUAAAUUAAUGAAACAAGAGCUGGAAGACUGGUGAUAUGAUAUAAGGUGAAAACAUAGUACACACAGUCAAACAUAAGCAACGAGAGUAUAUGACGAGUUUGUGAGCCAAAAACAUAAAGCUAGUACAGAGAGUAGCAAGCACAUAUAUUACAUCAAAAUGACUCUGACUCUCUACUAACUCUCUAACUCCCCCUAGCUCUCACAACUCAUAUCUCUCCCCCUUUGGCGUCAAACACCAAAAGGGACCUGAACCUAAACAUCUGAUGCAGGAGGAGGCGGCGGGGGCGCAUCCGGUCGAGGUCGAGGUAGCAGAGCGAACGCCGACGGAGGGUCAGAGUCAGUCUCGGAUCCAGGAUCUGCGGUAGAAGCUGGAGCUGGUACUGACUCGGACGCAGACAGCGCUGCAGGAGCUACCGGAACAGAAGCGGUCACAGAUACUGCCACAGCGGUAGUGGUAACAGCAGAUGCUGGUGGCACUGGCGGCUGCGGGCAGACAGAGCUGAGAACCGGAGAAGUGAACGCCAAAGUGACCGGCCGGAGCGGAGAGGUACCAGUAGGGGGUCCAGACAAGAUCGAAGGCACCACUGGAGCGUGAAGCGAAGAAGGCGGAGCAGACUGAACCGGAGGUGCUGAGAUACCAGAAUGCUGAAGCAUGAGGGCCAUGAAUGCCCUAUUCUCUGCCCUAUCCUGAAUAAGCUGCUGCUGAAGUGCAUCCUGCCUGUCCUGCAUGCUCUGAAACAUCGAGAGCAUCGUCUCGGAUAACCGGGCCUGCUCGGCUGCCAGGUUGGCCAGAAUCGCCGCAAGAGCAGGGUCCAUAGCCGGAGGAGGAGCAGGGGCAGCACGAGAACUCCCAGCCUCAUGAUCAUGGGAGCGUGGAGGCAUAGGAGGCGGAGGCGGAGGAGGAACCCCAAAAUCAUCAUCAUCAUCAUCAGCAGCAGCUGCUGUACCCUGGGUGUCAAACUGUCGAAGUGCUGCAUCCUCGGCCUGAGUGUCAAACACAGGAGCAUAAGCUGGCACUGGAAUCUCAGGAGCAGGACGGUAAGAUCCAAACACAAGGCGUGAGGCCUCAAGGGUGCUCUGAAAUCGAGGUGGCUGAAUCAGCUGCACAAAGAUGUGGCACAAGUAGUGAGCAUAGGGUAGCUACCGACGAGCACGAAUCCCAUCCAGAACGGUGUCCUCAAUCUCACAGAUCAGAAAGUCCACAACAUCAAACUCAGAGUGGGAUACCAGGGCACCAAGGAGCCAAAGCUGAAUGUGAGUGGUAGCCUCCCUGUAUCCCAUCCUAGGCAGGAGUGUCCGUCGGACGAGCUCAUAUAAGUACUUCGCUGCAGUAGUGAAGUCUGCUGGAGAACGUCGCGACCCAUCUGUGAAAGGCGGGCGGAACAGAGCCGCGACGUGAGCUGUCCCUGGAGCCACACCGCCGUGAGGGCGACGUGGAGGAUCUGAAGUGCCGUAGCAGAGACUGUGAAGGCGAGUCGUCGACUCAGGGAAUCCAAAUAGCUGUCGGAUCUGACUGGCAGUGAUCGUGACAUCCUCGCGCUCAAAGCGGAACCUCAUCCAAUGAUGAUCCGGGUCAAUCCAAACAGAGGCAUAGAAGACGCGGACCCACUCCUCAACAUAUCUGCCGCUGAUAGUCAGAAAGGACAGAAGGCCUGGCAAAUAGGUGAGAUGCGCCUCAGACUCAGUACCGGCUGCUAGCAAAAAAGCUGGAAGAUCCAAUAGGCGGUGCACUCUCAGCGCAAUCUGAGCAGACAUCUGAGCCCUGAAGAAUGACUCCUGAAUCCGUGUGCUGAAAAGAACUCCUGCUGCUGGGUCUCUCUGAGCUGGCAGCCAAGACUCCAUGGGUACGUACCUGAACCGAUGUACCCGGGCUGCAGUAGCACGCUGAAGAUCAAACAGACGAGGAUCCGAAACCAGUGGACGGACCUCAGUCUCAUCACGCUCCCGGAAGCGAGGUGGAGGGACAGGAGGAGCUGAAGCGGGAGCGGGGGUAGGGGAAGCAGUGGAAGCUGGCGUAGUGCUGGUAGUGGGUAUGACGGUGGAGGUGGAUGGAGCAAUAGGAGUGACUAGAGCAGGCAGAGUGGGUGGCGGGGUGGAAGCGGAGGUGUGAGUGGAGGAGCGAGAUCGGGAGGCGAGACGACGAGCACGGAAAGCAAUCGGAUCUGAUGGAACAUCCGGCUGAUCUCCAAGUGCUGCCUGUGCAGCGGCUGCUGCAGCAGCUGCUGCUGCACGAGCCUCUCUGUCCGAACGCCGCUUCUUGCGGCCUUCCUGCUGCUCCAAAUAGACAGUCUUGCCCUUCACCUGCCUGAAGGGGCGACGAGGGUCCUCGUCAUCGCCACCCCCUGACGCCGACGCAUUCUUCGUGCGCGGCAUCCUGAACUAAAGUCUGCAAAUGAGAUAGAGAGACUAAGCACAGAGCAAAAGUGACCGAUAGAUUUAGCAAAGAGUGCGAUGUCUACCUGGAAAGCUCACACAAGAGGUGACGAUCCAGGCAGGACGGGAGACGGCACACGGUCACACAAGGUCACUGAAAUGACAGAAGAGGUGAGCACGUAUUAGUCACAUAGUCAUAAGCAUAUGAAAUGUGAGUAAAUACAUACACAAAGAGAUAUGGCACGAGACGGGACGAUCGAUAAGUCAAACGACGUGGAAACGGCGUUUGAUAGACAAAUAGAGACAAAGGAUGAUUGGAAUUCGAAUUGAGGCACGAAACGAUAUGGGAUUGAGCCGAUACUUCACGAAUAGGUUUAUAUAGGUCAAUAUGAGUGAAGUGUGUGCUUGGUUUGAAUUUAGGCGAAGAAAUAGGAAUUUGGGCACUCGGCUCGGAAACGAUCGCUCAAAACGGGAAUUUUAGUAAAAUUUAAGCCUGGGACCUCGAAUUGGUGUGAAAUUUGGCAAGUAGGUUACUGGAAGUGUUGUGAAGGUGCCUGAAAAAUUUGGGUUCAAUUGGAGCAAGUUUGGCUGGUUUGGGCAUUUCACCGAGCACGUGGUGUGCGGGGAGUUAGGGUUUUAGGAAAAUGGCCAUUUGAGGUAGGAAUACCCUCCCGAAGGAGCCAAGGACCUGCAGGGGUAUGAAAUAGGGACAGGGGAACACAAUCCACCAACUGGAUGCAUGGGAUUUCACAGAAAUUUGAAAUAGAUACAAAGGGUGGUGCUUUGGAUGCCACAGAGCCAUUUCAACUGAGAGCAGGGAGAUAGAGGGAAGAGGAGUAGGUGCUCACCGAGGGGAAGAGCUCGGGCGAGGUCGCCGGAGAUGGAGGCUACCGGAGAGAGGAGGUCGUCGUCGGGCGCUGGGAAAUCGCCAGAGACAGAGGUGGAGACAGAGCGUGGCCAGGAAAAGAAUGCCUCUGGCCCGGCUCGGUCGGGCUGGAGGCGGAUUUUUAAAACGCGAGAUGGGCACACCGGACAGUCUACAUUGCCUGUCCGGUGCACACCGGACAGCGCACAGUAGCUGUCCGGUGAACCACCGGACAGCGCACAGGAAAAAGCAUUUUAGCGCGCGGCUGCCGGUGCACCGGACAUUGCACAGUGCAGUGUCCGGUGCACACCGGACUGUCCGGUGAGCCCAGACAGAGGGGAGUUUGGAAAAUUUUGAAUUUUUCUAUCUAACUCCUAACCAAACCAAAUCCCAACUUAUAAUCACACAAAAUAACACUUGUUGGGACAGGUAUUGGCACCCUCAUAUACUUUUCAAAAUAUUUUGCCAUAGGCUAGAUAAUUUUUAGAGAAAAUAGGCAAAUGGUGAAAUUUGCAUUUUGGCUUGCACUAGGGGUUUUCAAGAGUGAUUUGAGUUUUGAAUACUCCCCCUAAGUGCAGUACCUCAUGCAUAUUUCAAGAACCAAUAAUUGCAUGAAAAGAAAGAAUUUAAGUGCUAAAAGCUUAAAGACUAAGACUUGUCAGGUUUGACCCGAGUUAAGCUUUUUCACUCACUUUAUUGGCGGUUAUCUCAACUAGGUUAGACAAGCCCUAGAUGCAAUACAAGGAAUUUAAAUAUGCAAUGCAAGCUUGACAACACCAUUUGACAUUUCACAUAAAAUUUCUGAGAUCAAGAAUAUUUAGUUCAUUCCUCAACAUGCAAAAGCGGGUCUUAUCAAGUGGCUUAGUGAAAAUAUCCGCUAAUUGAUCUUCCGACCUCACUCCUUCUAAAAUGAUAUCUCCUUUAGCAACAUGAUCUCUAAGGAAGUGAUGACGGAUAUCAAUGUGCUUGGUGCGAGAGUGUUGAACAGGAUUAUUAGCAAUUUUAACAGCACUCUCAUUAUCACACAACAAAGGUACUUUUUCUAGAACUACGCCAUAGUCUAGAAGAGUUUGUUUCAUAUAUAAAAUCUGUGUGCAACAAGCACCUGCGGCAAUGUAUUCCGCUUCGGCAGUUGACAAGGCAACACUAUUUUGCUUUUUGGAUGUCCAUGAAACUAGUGAUCUACCAAGCAGAUGGCAUCCCCCAGAAGUACUUUUCCUAUCAAUUUUGCAACCGGCAUAAUCUGAAUCGGAAUAGCCAAUUAAAUCAAAAGUAGCUCCUUUGGGAUACCACAGACCAACGCUUGUGGUGUGCUUGAGAUACCUAAGAAUUCUCUUAACAGCGCGAAGAUGAGCUUUCUUAGGAUUAGAUUGAAAUCUAGCACACAUGCAGACACUAAACAUAAUAUCGGGCCUAGAUGCGGUAAGGUAUAAUAAACUACCAAUCAUAGAACGGUAGAGAGUUUGAUUAACCGGGUUACCUCCCUCAUCUAAGUCGAGAUGUCCAUUUGUAGGCAUGGGGGUCUUGAUUGGUUUGCACUUCUCCAUGUUGAAUCUUUUCAACAAGUCUUUGGUAUACUUCUCUUGAGAGAGAAAGUUACCAUCUUUCAUUUGCUUGACUUGAAAGCCGAGGAAGUAUGUUAGCUCACCAAUCAUUGACAUCUCGAACUCCUUCGACAUCAACUCACCAAAUUCCUUGCAAUGAUAGUCAUUUGUCGAGCCAAAGAUUAUAUCAUCAACAUAUACUUGACAAAUGAAAAUAUCACCGUUACGUUUCUUUGUGAAGAGAGUUGUGUCGACGGUCCCGAUUUUGAAGCCCUUUUCGAUGAGGAAGUCGCGAAGACGCUCAUACCAAGCCCUUGGAGCUUGCUUUAGCCCAUAUAGCGCCUUGGACAACCUGUAAGCAUGGUUAGGAUAUCUAGGGUCUUCAAAUCCAGGCGGUUGCUCAACAUAUACAAGUUCAUUUAUGAAGCCAUUUAAAAAUGCACUUUUUACAUCCAUUUGAUAAAGUUUUAUAUCAUAGCAUGAUGCAUAUGCAAGUAGGAUACGGAUGGCUUCCAGUCGAGCAACCGGUGCAAAGGUCUCUCCAAAAUCUAAGCCUUCAACUUGAGAGAAUCCCUUUGCGACAAGUCUUGCCUUGUUUCUUACAAUCACACCUUGAUCAUCUUGUUUGUUUCUGAACACCCACUUUGUUCCAAUGAUUCUUGCAUCUUGUGGGGGCUUCUCCAGGGUCCAAACUUCGUUACGGGUGAAGUUGUUAAGUUCUUCAUGCAUGGCAUUCACCCAGUCCGGAUCCUGUAGCGCCUCAUCUAUACAAGUAGGCUCAACACAAGAAACAAAAGAGUGAUGUUCAAUAAAAUUAGCAUGUUUAUGUGAUCGAGUAAUAACCCCUUGUGAAGGACUCCCGAUGAUUUGGUUUUGAGGAUGAGCUUGAAGUAGUGAUGAGUUUCUCCUGUCAACCACUUGGGAAGAAGAUCCUGGAGCAUCAACAUCUUCGGCUUGUACCCUUGCUUGUUUAUGAGAGACAAAUGUAUCUUCAUUUGCAUGCCUCUCAUCUUUUUCAUCAUCUUGUGGUAUAUUUGAUGAAGAAGGCCUGUCAAUGAUUUGCACCUCUUCUUCAUCUUCUUUUGGUUUGAUAGCUCCAAUAGGCAUGUUCUUCAUUGCUUCCCUAAGUGGCUCAUCACCUACAUCAUCAAGAUUUUCAAGUGCUCCUUGGGAGCCAUUAGUCUCAUCAAAUUCCACAUCAUAUGUUUCUUCUACCACGCCAGUGGCAUGGUUGAAUACUCGAUAUGCUUUGGACUUUAAUGAAUAACCCAAAAGAAAACCAAUAUCACAACGUCUUUGAAACUUCCCUAGGUGAUGGCGUUUCUUGUAGAUGUAGCAUUUGCACCCAAAUACCCGGAAGAAAGAGAGUCUGGCUUUUUCCCAUUUAGCAGUUCAUAAGGAGUCUUCGCAAGUAGCCGGUGAGGAAAUAGCCUGUUUGAUGCAUAACAAGCAGUGUUGACAGCUUCGGCCCAAAACCUCUCCGGUGUGUUAUACUCAUCAAUCAUUGUUCUUGCAAGGGUGAUCAAGGUCCUAUUUUUCCUUUCAACAACUCCAUUUUGUUGAGGUGUAUAUGUGGCAGAUACUUCAUGCUUGAUCCCAAUUUCAUCACAGUACUCAUGAAUGUUGGUGUUGUCAAAUUCUUUGCCAUUGUCACUUCUAAUCUUCUUAAUCUUGCAAUCAAAUUCAUUUUGUGCUUUCUUGGCAAACUUCUUGAAUAUAGAUGCAACUUCAGAUUUGUCAUGGAGAAAGAACACCCAAGUGUAUCUUGAGAAGUCAUCAACAAUCACUAGACAGUAGAGGUUGCCACCGGCACUGACAUAAUUUGUAGGUCCAAAUAAAUCCAUAUGAAGUAGUUCCAGUGGCCUUGAUGUUGACAUGAAAGCUUUAGUGGGAUGUGUAUUAGCAACCUGCUUUCCAGCUUGACAUGCACUGCAUGGCUUGUCUUUUUCAAAUACCACAUCCUUUAAUCCUCUAACCAUAUCUUUCUUUAAUACCUUCUUGAGUGUGCUCAUCCCAACAUGUGCAAGCCUCCUAUGCCAAAGCCAUCCAAGAGAAGCUUUGGUGAAGAGACAAGUUCUCAAGUCUGCAUCUUCUGAAGUGAAAUCCACUAAGUAGAGGUUGUUGUAUCUAAAUCCCUUGAAUACCAUUGAUUCAUCAUCCAUUUUUGUUACAAUAACCUCUGAUGGAGUGAAUAAGCAUUGAAGUCCAAGAUCACAGAGUUGUCCCACUGAUAAUAAAUUGAAGCUCAAGGGUGCAACUAAAAGAACAUUUGAUAUUGAUAAGUCAUUUGAGAUUGCCACCUUGCCAAGUCCUUGCACUUUUCCUUUUGAGUUGUCUCCAAAUGUGAUUUUAUCUUGACCAUCAACAUUCUCAUCUAAUGAGGUGAACAUCCGUGGGUUGCCUGUCAUAUGUUGUGUGCAUCCACUGUCAAUAACCCAAUGGCUCCCACCGGUCUUGUAGUUCACCUUUCGUUCACCCCUAGCCAUGAGGCAUAGGUGAGAAGUGGAUGAUGGCGAUGGUGGUGGUGAAGAGAAGUCCCCGGCGAUGGCCGCAACUUUUUCAUCAUCCUCUUCUUCACUUGAAGACGAUCCACUUGAUGAUUCGAUGUCGGUGAGCCAAUCGCCAACAAUAUAGGCCUUUCCAUUCUUCUUCUUGUGGAACCUCUUUUGCUUCCCAUCCUUCCUCUUGAAAAAUUUCUUUUCCUUCUUUUCAUCAUCGCUGUCAUCUUCCUUCUUGCCCUUGAACUUGUUCUUCUUGGGCUUGUUGCAUUGAUGAGCAAGAUGACCAAGCUCACCACAGUUGUAGCAGUCCAUCUCAGAAAUGGGCUUUCUUUUGUUGGAAAAGAACUUCUUCUUUCUUGAAUCAAAUUUGAUGCCUUCUCUAUUUAGCUUCUUCAACAUCUUGGUGGUCUUCCUUACCAUCAAGGCAAUGUUUGCAUCAAGGUCAUCAUCACUUGAGGACUCUUCCUCAACUUGUAUUUUUGCUUUUCCUUUUCUUUCAUGAUUUGCUUUGAGAGCCAAAUCCUUUCUUUUGGAAGAUGAUUCUUCUUUGUUGAUGUGCAUGUACAUUUCAUGGGCAUUGAUCUUUCCCAAAAUUUGUGUAGGUGUGGUAACUGAAAGAUCCAUUUGAUGUAGCACAGUGACAAUGUGCCCAUAUUUGUCUAUUGGGAGGACACUGAGAAUCUUCCUCACAACAUCCGGUUGUGAGAUUUGAGUAAGCCCCAAUCCAUUGACUUCCUCUACAAGAAUAUUAAGUCGUGAGUACAUAGCGUUUGCAUUUUCAUUAGCAAGCAUUUCAAAAGAAUUUAACUUUCGCAUAGCUAUGUGAUAUCUUUCCUCACGUUCACUUCUAGUUCCUUCGUGUAGAGCACAAAUGUCCAUCCACAAAUCAUGAGCAUUUUUAUGAUUCCGAACUCUAUUGAACACAUCUUUGCAAAGGCCUCUAAAAAGGGUGUUUUUGGCCUUCGCAUUCCAUUUCUCAUAAUUGAACUCAUCACCUACAAGAUUUGUGGGAUCUCUAGGUUGGGGAAACCCUUGUGUGGCGGCUUUAUAGACACCAAUGUCUAUAGCCUCUAAGUAUGCUUCCAUACGAAUUUUCCAAUAAGGAAAAUCGUCACCAUCAAAAACGGGAGGAGGUCCAUCCCCACCGGACAUCGUAACUCUAGCGGUUAAGCUAAUCUAUGAGCAACAAGGCUUUGAUACCA